UCUUUGCUUGAAAGUUGCAGCUAAGCUAGGCCCAACCGCCUAAGCUUAAAGAACAAUACUCACCAACCGAAUAAUAUCUAGUACUGUUAGUGGGUAAGGGCAAUCAAGUGCACAUUAUCAAAAGUCAUCCCUUUUUUGUAGGUGAAUCAAAAUUGAAAAAGGCAUUCUCAUGUCCAAUCCUCUUGUCUCCUGACAAAUUGGAUGAGAGGGGAAAACAACUGCACAAGUGCUAGCUAGCCUGUGAUCUUGGUUUAGAUGAUCAAAACAAAUUAGUAAGGGCAUGUUCUGUUUUAGGCCUAAUUAAUGGGCCCACUCAGCUGAACAAAAGAACUGUCAUUAGGGCAUAUAUAGUGGAGUGAUUACUUUCCAAGGGUGCAUGAUGAACCUAGUCUUUACAGCAAAGAGGGAGCAUGCGAGAUCUCCAAGCAUUGUGCAUCAACACUAGGACAAUUUGCAUGCACUUCCUAGCUACAAAGUACCUGAAACUUACAGCAUCUCCAGCUUUUUUUUUUGUCUUCCUGAGAUUGUUUUGUAUGCAUAUUUUAACGGGAAGAGUUGACUGCAAAAUUAAAGCACAAGGAAAAAAAAGCAAAAAAGGGCACGGCAUGGUCAACAAGAAAUGGUCACUCGCAAAAAACAAACAAGAAAUGGUCAAACACUAUCUGCAAUUAAGCAAGCAAAGUACCAAACCAUGGUACUAAUUCAGGAGAAUAAUGCUCAUUGAAGAACAUCAUGUCCGGCCUAGUAAAAUAAGAGAUCCAUUUCCUCUAGCUGGCUCCAUGUGCAUUCCCCUACUUUCUUUUUGUCGUGUGUAAAUUGUACGUAGGUCCUUUUUCCUAGUGCAUCCAGUACACACUUUGUGCGUACGUGCGUUCUCCUUAAAAAAAAGUGAGUACUCGUAUGCUGAACCCUUUUUUUUUAAGGGAAUAUGCUCAACCCUUCGAACACAAGAUAACAUGCACAGACCCCCUGGGAUAAGAUAAAACAAGUAAUGAUUGAAAUCCCCUUUUUUCCCACCAGAAAACACUAGCUUAUCCAAGUUUGAUGGAUACUCUCCUUUUAGUAGACUACACGAACUGAAUAUAAUCUUUCCAUACUCAUUAGUAGACUACACCAAGGUUGCAAUAUAUUUUUAAUCAUACUGAUUAAUCAAUAAAAAAAUGGUGCACUUGAUGAUCCAACUAGUCUUUACAGCGAAGACUAACAGAUUAACAGCUUGCAUGCACUUCAGACACCAGAAAAUUAAAAUAAAGGCCCGGCAGUCUGCAAUGACAGUGUCACCGGGUUCCAACAAUGCCCGUUCAUAGUUGUGGCCAUCCAAACUUUGUACUUAAUAAAAAUUUAGUAAUCGCCGUUGUGCCAACAAAGCCUCCGUAGCAUAGUGGUAGUGCGUUCCCUUCGUAAGGGAAAGGUCGUGAGUUCGAUCCUCACCGGGGGCUUCAUUUUUUUUUACUUUUGCACUUUUUUUUUACCAGUGUUUAGCGCCUUUUCAUUCUCUAUUUUUGCAACUUCUAAAACAAAUCUUUGGUGUCGCAAAUUCUAUUCGGAUGCUGCUGGCCCAGUUAGGGAUAAUAUCCAUGUCAAAAACUCAAAAUUGACCUGUGAGGAGACACCCGAAUUUUUUUUCAACCAAGGAAACAGUUAAAUGAAAUGAUGAAAGUCUGAGUAUUUUUUUUUCUCGAGAAAACGCAAAACUUGCAUCUCGAUGCAUUGAUAGAAAGAAUGUAUUUGCAAGCCCAAGAACAGGCCGACACAACCGAGCACUUAAAACAAAAACACGACCAACGACCGCUAGACUAACAUUACAACCAACGCCACCAAACAACCUCAGGCCUAAAUGCCAAAUACACAAAAGUACAGGAUAACGAAGAAGGCGCCGCGGCCCGCUGGCCUCGCAGAACUCGAAGACAAGCCCGCGAGCCGUCUCGUCAACUGCAGAAGCCUCGGGCCGCCGAUCACCGCGCUCGUUACGAACAAUGCGUCACCAUAUCCCACCGCUCCACUGUUGGUCACAACAAACGCCCAACUUCGUCGGUCGAUACCCGUCGAGUGCACCCAUGCGACCAAGAUGCAGCAGCACGGGAUCCUUCGCUAACCACUAUCCUUGUCAUCCAAGGUGGCGCACUUGCACGAUGCCGGUGUGUCCAAAAUCUGCUCGCUAAAGCUAAGGCGUGUGCCACCGGAACACACUCCAGCCAAGGGUUAUCCUCCAAGAACAACGCCUCCAACAAGAGAGCGACGUCACCAACGUCGCCGUCAUCCGAUCAGGCAAGCCAAAUCUGGGUUUUCACCCGAAGGAUUGGACCACAGGGCAUGGAGGUUAGCUAGGGCUCCUCGACGACGCCACCAAGGAGGGAACGACGCCCGAGAGCGUCAUCGUCGUCGUCGGCACCGACAGAGGUCAGGCAAGGCUUUCACCCGGAGCACCACGAGCAAACUAGAUGCAACCAAGGCAAUGCAAAGGAACAACGGCAAAGUCUAAGCAACGCCUACAACCGCACUAGUGCAAGAACCUGGAUGGCCCACCGUCCCGCCUUCAGAGGCCACCACACGCCGUGCAAUUUGGCGCAUGCACCGUCCACAAUACCAACCCUGAAAGGCGUUGGCACAUGGCCCAAACGGCCUGUGCACAGACUAACCCAGGCCCGCAACGAAUCUGAAGUUAGCAGGCAGUGCACACAGCACACCCCGAGCUAGAGCCCGACGAAGCGCCCGCUGCAAGCGUGCAACUUGGCACACGCACCGUCCACAAUACCAACCCCGAGAGGCGUUGGCACAUGGCCCAAACGGCCUGUGCACAGACUAACCCAGGCCCGCAACGAAUCUGAAGUUAGCAGGCAGUGCACACAACACACCCCGAGCUAGAGCCCGGCGAAGCGCCCGCUGCAAGCCCCGAGGUAUUGCCGGAUGGGCGCAAAGGCGCACGUCACACAACCUGCGACGCGACACCAGCGACCACAUCAGGCCACACACCAAUGCCUGCCUCCCUCUGGGCACCGGCCAACACGCACCAAGCACGGCUCAUGAGCCAUCUCCCGAACCACCCGCAACCUCCAACCACACCCUCACAGGCACGGACUGCCGGCAGUGAGUAACAUCGCAGCAGCGCCCUGCCACACGCCGAGCGCACUAUCCAACGCCUUUCGGCCACAACACGACCUGCCGCUGCCUGCACAAGCAACCACCACCAGAGCAGCGCGAGGCGCAGCAAGCCAACCACACGACGCUGCCGCACGCGAGCCACCGCACGCUUGCGUCGCCGCGGAUUAGGCCACCAUCACCGGAAUCGUGCUGCCGCGGAUCUGCGAGCCACCGCGUGCUUGCGCCGCCGUGUGCGAGACCACGCACCUGCGCAGCAAUGGGUCGAUCCACCGUCGCUGGAAUCGCGCUGCCUGGGUGGUGCCUCUGCAGCCGGAAUCGCGCCACCGCGCGAGCUCGAGGGAGAGCGAGGGAAGAGGAUGGGCAGAGAGGAGGAGAUGGCAGGGCGGCUGGAAGGCCCUGCCGCCGCCGCGGGCCGGCCAGCGGCCGCCGGCGGCAGCGGCAGGGGGAGAAAGAGCGGUGGAGAGAGGGAGGUUGGGGUCGCCCCGUGAGUCGCAGGAGCGGCUCGCGGGGCGCUAGGGUUUUUGUUCUUCCCGCCUGUAUAUCGAAAGUCUGAGUAUUAUCCAUUCCAGAUUUCAUAAGCACUCCAUUUCUAAUCAGGCAAGUAAAAUACAAGGGUUGGUCACGUGAUCAUGGACCCAUGACACACAAUUAUAGAAAAUGUCCAAACUGAAAAUUGACUAACAAAUCCUUGUCACUCCCUGUCUGCUACUCCCAGCUUCCCUGUAUUUAAACCAGCCAUCAGCUAAGAGAGAUUUGAAAGUAAACUAAAAGAAAGAAAGAGAGUGAGUGAGUGUUGUCACAAACAUGUCUGACUCUGUCAUGGCGUCUCUGGCUCUGAAACCAUCUUCGUCUCCAUUGCUGGAACGAUCGAAGCUCCAAGCGCGCGACCAUCGGUGAGGCCGCCGUUGUUCAUAGUGGCCAAGAAGGCGAAGAAGGUCCAGACUUCCCAACCCUACGGUCGGUGCAUGCUAUAAAAUUCAGAGUUGGAAACUGUAAAAAUUAGGCUUGGAAGAACUUGACUUGAACGUCAAUUUACCUUGUCAUAAAUUUUGGUACUCCCUCCGUCCAACAAAGUAUGUCUCAACUUUGACAAAAUUUGAAUGCAUCUACACACUAAGGCAUGUAUAGGUACAUCCAAAUUUUGACAAACUUAAGACAUCUUUUGUUGAACGGAGAGACUAUGUCAACUUGUAGGGCCUUCUGGAGAGGUGGUGUUCAAGGAAGGCGUUGAUGCAUCUGGGAGGGUAGCCAAGGUCAGUGAUAAGCUCAAACAUGCACACUGGACAAAAGUAUUGUUGCUGUUCAUUGCUUAACGACAUUCCAAUUUAAUCAGGGGAAGGGUGUUUACCAGUUCUCCAACAAGUAUGGAGCAAAUGUUGAUGGGUACAGGUAAGAAAACUCGCAAAUCCAACAAAGAACAAUUACCUACAGUUUUUCUCAUAAGGACAAAGAAGAUGUUGGUAAAAGAAAAUGGAUAAAGAAGAAAGCCUGCCAAUAAUAUUGUCUGUAAGAAUAAAUAGCUACCGCCUGCAGAACUCACAGAUCAUGCAUGGGUUUCAACUAUUGUUACAUUUUAUCAGUUCUUACUGUAUUGCAGCCCAAUAUAUACCCCAGAAGAAUGGUCUCCAAGUGGUGAUGUUUAUGUUGGAGGUAAGUGUAAGCUUGCACCUCGAAACAAAAAUAUUUACAUUGAACGAUGUUACUUUGAUUGUGCCAGACACUUUUUAUUAUUUUAAUUUUUAUCAUAAACAAUUAUAUUUAACUUCCUUUCUUGAUUUAUGCAGGAAAGACAGGGCUAUUUCUCUGGGCAGUUACUCUGACUGGAAUUCUGCUGGGUGGUGCUCUUCUUGUCUACAGUACUAGUGCCUUGGCUUCUUGAAGCCUAGAUAUGUGCUUUAGCAAAGCAAGUUAUGUACCAAAAAAUGUGUAUAUGAUAUAGGUUAGAACUUAACAACAUAUGUAAGGACGUAAAUAUCGGUACUGGCAGUAAAUAAAACCGAUAAAUAAGUCAUGUUCUAAGUAUCAUGGUGCAGCCAUUAUUUAGUUACCAAUGGCAUGCUCUGAUAAAUGUUGUGAUGUCAACAAACAUGGCACUUGAUUGAUUGCCAUAAGAGUUAAACAAUUUAUUCUGCAAGUAAAGAUGAAAAAGGAAAGAAGAUCUGACAAAAUAUCCCCAUAAAUUGCAUAUAAGUGCCAUGCAUUACAAAACAAUCAACAGACCAAAUAUCAUAAAGGCAUCGUGUAUGUCACCAAAAACAAACGGCCUCCACCCCACAGUAGAAAUAAAAAUAAAAAUUAGCGACUUAAUAAAAUAUUUAUAACCUUUUUAACUAAAUAAUUGUGGCGUUUAUAAUCCUAACAAAAAUAGCAUCUAUUAUUUUAAUUUACAAAUGCUGUCCAGGAUGGCAGCUGUAAUAAGUGUUGGCUGUCCAUGUAACCUGCAGGACUACUCAUGCAAGACUGAAAAAAUUAAACUUCGUUGUGAUAAAACAGUCUUCCCACCUGUCAGCAUGGCCUCCUGAAUGGAAGGUUAUAGCCCAGCAGAGUUUUAUUACUAAGAAGAUGUUGCGAAAUCAUAGGUGAUGUGUAACAUUGGCAAGUGUUUUAGAUGAAAUAUUGACGUGGAUACUUUGGGUAAUAUGGAUACUUAUGUGAUGAGAUGUAUCUUGUUUGGACUUAGUGCUUCGCUAGUGGUGUAUUGAUCCAUUAAUUUUUUAUGUGAAAACAUGGCGUGAGUUGUGUGAAACUUACCCUGAGUCAAGUCGUGGACUUGUGCUCGUACUGGUUAUUUGUGUGUUCGCUUUCAGGUGUUGCCGGAGCUAGAUGAACGUGGUCGAUGACGGGAUCGAGGGACGAAACUUGGAAGAAGCUGAGGUCGAGGAUCAAGGUCAUGCGGGACGUUCGUGCGAAGGAACAAUGGAAGUUCGUGCGAAGGAACAAUGUAAGUGAAAGCUACGGUGAUCCGGAAGGACACCGGUUUGUCGUAUGUUGUUUAUACCAAAUAUGUACGGUAUUGGAGAUAUUUGAUACGUGAUGGUCGAGUUUUGAAGACAUCACAAGAAGAGUUGAUGGCAUGGGAUGGCAUCGACGUGAAAAUAUGUAGGUCCAGCCAUGGCUGGAUGAGAGCUGUUUAAAGAUUAAACAGUAGCGUCCUGAAGAUGGCGUUCAAUGGAAAAACGGUCCACAUGAAAGUUGUGCGCGUCGUCGAGACGAACAACCUUGCUUUUGGAGUCAUCUCAAUCCGAGGUCGUAUGCGGGCCUCACGGGCAAAAUACCAACCGGGACAGAGGAGUUCGUGUUGGAUUCGGACUCGGUUUAGGGUCACGAAUUUUCCCUUAUAAAUAGAGGGCGUCAUAGCUAGGGUUUUAGCAAAGACGUGAGGGAACUCAGAGCUUUGGAUUUAGAUCAAUUCUUGGAGAUUUCUUGGAUGCAUGGUUGCAUCUUUUGUAAUCGAUCGACAUGGUUGCAAUAAAGAAAUUCGUUAGCGGUGUCAUUUCUAUUCUUCUCGGAUCUUCAUGGAUUCUUCGUGCUAGAUAUUUCUAACACUUUGCUGCAGGUUUAUCAUGAGUUCAUAAUACUUUUUUGCAGGUUUACCACAAGAUCAAGGAAGAUCGCGAUUACUUCAUCUUUCUUGUUAUUCUUCGAAAUCUAUUGCAUGCUCUUUUAGAUAUUAGGAAAAAUAUUUGGAUUAAUGGUUGAACUAAAGAUAGGUUAUCCGAAACUUGGACAAAAGGACAAACUAAAUUUCUCUCUCAGGGAACAUGGGAGUAGAAUUCUCAGGAUUAUCCAAUCACCACCUAGAUGUUUCCUUCAAAUUCUAUCAUCUUCAAGAGUUCAAGGUCAUGUGAAGGACAGCGAAAGAUCACACAGUUGUGGUCCAUGAACCUAUUGGCACCACACAGCAACUGACACUUGUCAAGCAAAGCUCAAUCACUUGCUUCUAAAUUCAACCUGCAUCCUUGUAUUUAAAGCAAGUAUUGCACAUGAUUUAGCAAAGAAAAUAAAGACUGACAGCAAAAGGAAGAGCGAGAGCGAGCUUACUGUCAUACGCAUGGCGGCCUCAGUCAUGGCUUCUACGGCUUUGAAACCAUCUCCAUCUCCAUUUAUCGGGCAGCCGCGGCUCCGAGCCAUCCAGCCUUCAGCAAGAUCACCAUCUUUCAGAGUAAUGUCCAAAAAGGCAAAGAAGGUCCAGACUUCUCAGCCUUUCGGUCAGUACACGAUAUAAAUAUACCUUUUGUCAUACUUUUUUUUUUGCGAAGAUACCUUUUGUCAUACUGAACCCCUUUAAGAAAAAAGAAACUAUUACUGCUCUAUUUGAUGGCAGCAUCUCACUAUCUGUGCUUGAGUUUAUCUUAUAGCAAGUUACGAAAUUGUGCCCUGUUAACAUCUAGGGCCUGGGGGAGGAUUGGAAUUGAAAGACGGUGUUGAUGCAUCGGGAAGGCCAGCCAAGGUUAGUUUUGAGGCUGAAAAAAGUAAAUUGUUUUUUUUCAGAAAAGUACAUUGUUUUAUCACUUAAUGUUGACCCAUUUUAAUCAGGGGAAAGGUGUCUACCAAUUUGCCAGCAAGUACGGAGCAAAUGUUGAUGGGUACAGGUAAAACAAUCGCCGUAAUUCAGCAACCAACAUCACCUAUUUUCUUUCUUAAGGGCAAAGUAAAAACCAAAUACAAACCUGUAUUCAAGGAAAAACUAAAUACAAACGUGCUACUAGUGUUAGUAAUAGAAGGCAUACCCCUACAGUUCUACCAGUAAGAAAAAAGUGAAAAGAAUAGCAUCCAUAACUCAUCUACUGCCUUAAAUAUAUGAUAUUUGUGAUAUCUUUAUUGCAGCCCAAUAUAUAACCCAGAAGAAUGGUCUCCAAGUGGUGACUUCUAUGCUGGAGGUAAGCAGUCUGCACAGACAACCAUCCCAAAAAUACAAUCUUUACUAUAGAUUUUUUUUUUGCCAGAGCACAUAUAACCUCCAUCCCUUGAUGUAUGCAGGAAAGACGGGGUUGUUGCUCUGGGCAGUCACUUUGGCUGGAAUUCUGCUGGGUGGUGCACUUCUUAUCUACAAUACUAGUUCUUUGGCUUCUUAAAUCCUAGGAGCAACAAACCUAAGCAUGUAGCAUACAAGGAUUACACAAUCUAAAAUAGAUAUUCGCUCACCUAUGUUCCUAGACUAAUUACCAUAUGUGAAUAAAAAUCCAUAAGUAAUUAAUGUUCUUAUUUGUUGUGCAAUGUGAUUGUGAUAACGUAACAGAAACUCAAAAAGAGCAGAAUACUAUGGGUCCAGAUAACAAGGCAGUGAACAGGGAGCCAAAUAUGCAGGAAUUCCUAUGAGAUCGAGCACGGAGCACGGUUGAUGAAAGAAUUGUAUUAUUCAUUUUCUCUUAGCAUUCGAUUCCAGAGUGUUACAAAGAAUCAAUCAAAUUGAUGUCACAGGGGAUUCUGUGCACAUAAUUAAAAGCAACAACAACAAAUAUUUUCCUCCUAUUGCACCAAAAAAAAAGACAUGCUGUGGGGACAUCCACAUAUGGUGUUACAAUACCACAGUACAUGCAUCUAAGCAUGUUGUUAAUCAGAAACUCACCCUAUUCGGUUGCUUGAAACACCUAGUUCGACCACCCCUUCCGUAUCAUGGCACCUCAAUUUUGACAUCAACAACUUCAUCAUUUGCAUCACGAGCUGCACGAGUGGACUCCUCAGCUUCUCUGAUGUGCGUCACAGUAAUAGAUGCAUCAGAGGGCGUCAGUUCAGGCCCUGAAAGAACCUCAUCACAAUCUGCAUGCAGAUGACCUUGGUGCAACUGCAAAGCACUCUCUAGGUGCCACAGGACUUCGCCCAUCGAAGGCCGGUUCACUCCCUCAUCUGCAAGGCAUUUUUCUGCUAUCUUGCUGAAUGUCUUCAUGGACUCUAAUGUGUAAUUUCCAUCUAAACGAGGAUCGAUUAUGGUCUCAAGUAACUGCUGCCUUUGGCAGUUGAGAGCCCACUCAGCAAGAUUUAUCUGAUCUCUUGGCAAUGUCGGAUUAAUGACCGGUCGAGCACAUAGCACUUCAAGCAGCACAACACCAAAAGAGUACACAUCUGAACUUGGAGUUAACUGCUGCCUCCUAUAGUACUCCGGGUCAAGGUAACCAAAACUCCCUUUCACAGCAGUACUAACAUGAGUAUGAUCUAAAGCUGGACCAUCUUUUGAGAUGCCAAAAUCUGCCAUCUUUGCGACCAGGUUGCCAUUUAACAAAAUGUUGGUAGUCUUGACAUCCCUGUGAAUUAUACCCCUGUCGAGUCCAGUGUGAAGAUAGUGAAGCCCUCGUGCUGCGCCGAUACAUAUCUCAAGCCUUUGAUUCCAUGUAAGAGCAGGAAGGUCACUUCCAUAGAGAUGGCUCCUCAAGGUGCCGUUUGCCAUGUGCUCGUAAACUAAGAUCAUCUCGUUUCGCUCGUCACAAUAGCCAAUUAAGGGUACGAGGUGCCGGUGUCGCAGUCUCGAGAGCAUCUCGAUCUCAGUUUCAAAUUCCUUCACACCCUGACCCUGUUGAGACUCCGUGUGCCCCCUCUUAAUUGCCACCAGAGUGCCACUCUCCAUUUUACCCUUGUAGACCUUCCCAAAACCUCCAACUCCAAUAACCAAGGACUCAUCGAAGUUCUGGGUGGCUGUUCUGAUUUCUGCAAUGGUGAACCGCCUGCCCAGCUGGCUGCUCCCUAAUGUUCCAGCUGUGCGAAGAGAUGGGGAACGAGUGUUCGCAGAACCGUGGAGCGCAAGUGGCUGACAACCCGGUGGGUUCUUGGUUUUGUUAGCUGAACUUCUCUUCUUCCGUUGCAGACAGAAACAGAUAUAAACAGCACCAACAAUUGCGAUAAAAACUAUCAGACCAGUAGCAGCACCAAUUAGCACCCACUUGGGGCUCCUCUUUGGUUUCCUUGUGCCACCACUGAUACCUCCAAUCCUCACAGUUGGAUGAGCAAGAUUUCCUUCCCGGCUGACCUUAAAUAUCUCCAUGCCAUUCAGAAGAGCAUCAGUAGCCGCAGCACCAGCUGAAGACUCGGAACCCAGCUGAACCCAAAGAGUGUCCAUCUGUGGCGAGGCAACAUCAAGGAAGUCCUCAUGAAAGGCCUUGUUCUUUCCCCCAGCUCUUGCAAACACAUCAUAGCUCUCCGCAGCGGUCUUGUUGUUUAUGUAAAUCUUGAACUUCCGUUGCUCAGCCUUGUCAUACUCCAGCUCGCAGAAAUGCAGCCGGACCAAGUAGUCGAAGCCAGGGUCAAUAAUAAAGCUCCAAGACACAUUGAAUUUCUUCUCCACGACAGAACUCUCCGUCGUCACCUUUGCGGUUUCAUACAGCCUCAAAGGUGCCAAUGUGGAAUCAUCAGCCGACGCAUAACUUAUGUUGGAAGAAUUGGUGAUGGUAUGUGCUGCAUUCAGAGAGAAAAUGAAAUGCUCAUCUGAAUCCCACUUCCUCCACAAGCCCGGAUCCUCUUUCCUCGCUAUAUCGCUGCAUCCUACACAUAACCUAUACAUCGUCUCAAUCCCACCGUCAGCGAGGCUGAAAGGGCCCUUCAACCCAUAACCACCAACCUUGUUUACGGAAUCAAAAAUUGAGCUGCCAGACACCGGCACAACCUCCAUGGCAUUAACGAAGGCGAAGGACCCUUCAUCAGGCCUGAACUCAAUCCCCAAUUUACCAGAAGUAAAAUUGAGAAGGUACUCCUUCACAAUGACCUUGCUAGUUGAGUUUAUCUGAGAAUCCCUCCAAGAAAUCUCUCCAGUGACACUGAACCUGGAGAGCAGCUUCAGGCCAUUCGCCGCGACAUCGAAGAUUGGCUCCUCGGCGCUGAGAUUGGCGAACAGCUGGCUGAAAUGGAGACGGAGGAAGUAGCUCCCGGCGGCGACGCCGAGAUUGUAGCUCGAGGAUGAGUUGAAGACACGGGCAGUCUUGUACAGAUCCCCAUACGGCUCCUCUUCUCCAUCCACUCCUGGAGCCGCCGCCGCCAAGGCGAUGGUUCCCGGGAAGCUGAGCGUGAAGUUCUUAGAAGGGGAAGAAUCCCCAAUCCAUCGCCUGCCAUCGACGACGGCCGAGCUGGAAUCCGAGCCGCAGUUAAUCAGGAUAGGCCCAGGCUGCGCUCGCGCAUUCUCCGCGGCCAAGAACACCACCAGGAUCAGCAGCAAAUUCGUGGAAGAUUUCAUCUCUCCCCUGGAUUAUACUCGCCUACUCGGUGGCCUCCGCCGCCGCCGCAAUUUCAGGCGGAUAAACCUUAUUCAGAAAACCAGCUUUUUUCGGCCGAUUAAUCGCAACCUGCAAGCGCCAAGCAAACCGCAUUGAUUAGCAAUCACCGUCUUGGCGGAACAACCAAUGAUUAAGCGUAGGAGAGCAGGGCCAAGAACACGGACGAACCGGGGAGGAAGAAAUGCCGCUUCUUUUUUCAAAAUCGAAGAGAGAAAAAGAAAAAAGAAAGAAAGAGACUUUUGAUUCUUGGUUGGUUCCAAUAAUCACCUGAGGAGUUCUUGGUUCCUGCUCGAUUAGAAGGCUCUCUCCUCCGUUCGUCCUCCUCCAGAGGACCAAGACUCAAGAGCACCGGCAGAAGAAGCAAGCAGAAGCCUCCAAAUCCCCAAAGAGCAGGAGCAUGGCACAAAUGGCUAGCUUCAGAGAGAGGUCUACUAAGCUAAACAAUUGCUGAUGAUAGUAGUAGUAUAAUGGUUCGGCAAUCAGGUGCAGGCCUGCAACCGAUUGAUUGAUUAAUCUUUGGUGAGGAUUGAGGAGGAGACAGGGACAAUGAGAGAUAUCUGCUCUCAGGGGGUGAUGGGAUUGCGAUUCUCGUGUGGAUUUGGCUCGCACAUGAGGUGUUUGGGUAGGGGGCUGUGCUUGUGACUGAGGCUGUCGCUGGGUUUGAAACUGAGCUGACCAAAAGUUGCUGUUAGCUGGAUGUGGCUUCAGGCUAGCUGGGUUGCAUCUAUACCACUGGGAUUCUGCGGUGCUUUUUCGCUAGAUGCUCCGUUGGAACUCUUUGGUUGUAGUGCUGUACUUUGCUCAAAGCCACUUUUUCGUUGAAGCAUCCGGCAAACUGCACAACACACUCACGCCAUUGCUGGCGCACGGCCGCGGCACACAGUAAUUUUUACUCAUAUGGAUGUUAACCGUGUGGUCGGCUACGGAUAACCUGGAGGUCUUCAAUACUACCAUGACAAACGGUGGGAGUUCUUAUCCAAUUAUACAGUGCUUGCUGCUAUCUAUGAAAAUUGUGCUGAUCAUAUGACUCCGGGGUACAGUUCACAAGUAUCCGGUUUCAACACUGCAACCGUACGUGAGGCUAAUCCGUAACCCGUACGUGAGGCUAAUUCGGUUACGGAUGAGCUUAGCUAAAUCUCAAAAUCCUCCAUCUGUGAACCUCCAACUAGCAUUGUGUAUCUUCUACUCCAUGAUGUAACCCUAUUCAAUUCGAGAAGUAAUAAAAAGGUCUUGCUGUUUCAAAAAGGAAAAAGUUGAUCCAAAUUUCAGCCGCACAGGCCCUGUAUCACAUUGAUCUGGCCUCUUCUCUCGUAUGAUCCAAUUAAUCAAAGGACGAUGUUGAUUUGUGCAUUUGGAUCAAGAUAGCUCUCGUUUCUAGUGUCUGACCAUUCAUAUUGAAUUAAUAAUAAAUAUACGUGAAUAGUUAUUGGUCGAAUGCGGUACCAAGAGAAAAAAAAAGACAUUAUGAAAUAAAUAAAUAAAAUAUAUACAAAUUGUGCCGUGGACGGAGGAGUAGGAUAGAAUACAACCAUCGAUGCAUUGGCCGGGACGAGACUGAUAUACACUGGGAUUCGAUGGAUCGGCAUGCAGUACAGUGUAAGGUUGUCUGAUUAGGCCAAGGAGUAGAGUAUUCUAUGCACGCAUCACAUUCACAUCAGAUAUUCGGACGGGCCCAAAUUAAUUACUCCAAUAAUAAUACAGCCCAAUUGGUUGGGGGCAGGCACAUGGCCGUCUGGAUCAUGUUUGUAUUUUUAUUUUUAUUCAAACGCCGGCACCGAACGGACGCUCGUCGGCUAGCUAGCUACCUUUGCUUCAGGGCUUCUCGAGCUUGAGCUCAAGGGAGAUGCAUCCAGUAUCAAGCCUGAAUCCAGUAGCGGGAACUACAGUACACUGCUCGAGAUGCAUGCAUACACAGGUGAUCCGGCCCUCGACAUCUGUCAGUGCUAGCUCUGUGCCUGCAUCUCGAGAGCUGUUCAGGGGGAUUGAUUUUAAAAAAUGUGGAUCGAAGAUCGAUCAUCUUUAUAUGCAUACGCAAUGCUAAGAGAGAUGCCCCAAAUUUUGCCUUCAAAUGUUUUUUUUUAUCACUUGGGGAAGCAAGUGGACAUUUAUCCGUUCUAUGUCCGUCCUCGUCACCCAACCACACCCCGCAAAUUCCUCUCCCAAAUUAGGACAUUUUUGGAUCACAGGAAAUGUAAACACAUGAAUAGAAAAAAUAUAGAAAUAGGAUGCCAUGGCAUAUUGAAUCCUAUGGAAAUCAAAUUAGUACCAGUUGUUUGGUUGCACCGCAGGAAAAAUGCGCGAAUCUUGUGUACACAUUGGUGUAAGCCAUACUUGUCAUAGGCACGUAGGAAUCUUUCCAAGAGGUCCACCUCUUGUUAGAAUUCUUAUAGGAAUAGGACUUAAGAAACCAAUCCAUAAGAUUUUGGGAAGAUGAAUUCAUUUGAAUCAAAGAGUCUUUAUAGAAAAAAUUCCUAUGGAUUAGAAUCCUACCAAAAUACCAUGAAAAUCCUUCAAUCCAAUCCAAAUAGGACCUUAGUUUUUUCUUUUCUUUAUCCUUUCUCUUCUUCUUUUUACUUUUUUUUAUCUUUUUCCCAUCUCUUGUUGUGGAGCCGAGGCGGACAAAAGAGAGCACCGGACAUCCCAACCUCCCCCAAAUUUGAGGCAAAUUUAGGGAAUGUGUCCGGACAAACAUGAUAUUUGUCCGUUUAGGGGUGCCAUUGGGGUGAUUUUGGAGGCAAAAAUAUCCAUAUCCUCAAAUAGGACAUUUGGGAUAGUUUUGGGAUGCCAUUAGACACGCUCUAACGCGUUUAGAGUAAUGUAAGCACGGAGGGAAUCGAGGCGCGAGUCCCGGCUAGUUUUCUGCUUAAUUUUGUCUUCUUGGUCGAUGGCUCCAUCCGUGUGUAUACUUCAUGUUUCAGUUACUGUAGACAACAAGUACAGGCCCGGUGUACGGCCUGUCCUGCAGAGAGGGGGAGCAGAAGAGAUGCUGUUUCGACUACGUGCAGAUCUAACUGGACGGGUCCAGUUACUUGUUUAUUUCCUCUUGUUAUAUGUCAGUCAGUGGCGGAUCACGGGAGCUUGGGCAAAAUGCAUGCCGUCUGUUCUAAGCUAAAAUUGUCCAUACAAAUUUGCUAACUUAAUCAUUAUACUUACAGUACUUUAUUUUGAAAUGAGUUCAAAUUGGGAUACUGAGCGAGUGCCCCGGGUCGCCGGGCGGUAGCUUGCUCCGUCAAGGAGUUCAUCACAAAUAACAAUAUCUAGUCCUGAGAGAUGGAGAAAAGAACAAGCAGCAGGAGGAUAAUUCUUGCGAAUUCCCAGCUCCUUUGGAUAUUUCCUCCUAAACCAUAUAUACUUCGUAUUCUCCAUUUUCGUUCCGUAGAAAUUAGAAAGAAGAAAUUAAGGAGAGACGAGGCAAAACUUUUUUUUUUGAGCGAAAGGCAAAACUUGGUGAUAUAUAUGAUCAGGAUCGGGGAAUUUAGGGGCACCAACACAUCCAGAUACAGGCAGAUAUAGGUUUGGGCUUUCACGUUUGAAUUCACGGGCCCAUACUAGACGCGAUACGACAGACGGCCCAUACUGGCUUCUCGAACCAUUCGUCCAAAAUAAAUAAAAAUCAAAUUGCGCGGCAAAUACACCACCACGCAAAAGCACAACAUCUGGAUCACUGCUGCAAUGCCGAGAUCUAAGUGCAAACAUUUCACGCAUUGAUGACCAGGCAAAAAUACACCAGGAAGUUUCUACCGUCAAAAUUGAUCUGUACGUAAAAGCUCCCAAGUACAGGCUAAUUGAAGGAGCUCCGACGAGAUCAAAAGGAGCAGACAAAUUCUUACAGCCCAACAAUGGACCGUUGUCGUAUCUAGAGUAAGAAUUAGAGACCCCCCCCGGUAACCCUCCUCUGGCGACCCAGGGGAAACCCUAGCGCCGCCAACCCUUGACCCCUCCCCCGCAUCGCCGCCACCGGAGGGGUGCCGGCGAAGCCUGCGCACCUCCAGGGAAGGUGGCAGCGGGGCGGAUCUCCUCUUCUCGCGGCUCUUCUCGGGUCCAUGGCGAGCAGGGAGUUUGCCGCCACGCGUGGCGGCGGCGGCGUUGUGGCCGUGGUGGGCGCCGUCGGUGCGAGGCAGUGCUGCGCCGAUCUGGGCUUUGCUUGCGGGGAGGCCGGCCCUUUGGAGGCGCGUGGCUGCUUGCGGGGAGUCGCACGAAGCUCCUUCAAUCUGUGGGGCUGCGGCCGGCGGCACGUGGCGGCCGCCAAUCUGCAAGGGCGGCGCGGGGUGGCCGUCGGUGUGGCUCGAUCUGGAGGUGGAAGCACCGGAUCCGGGGCGGGUGGUACCGGAUCCGGUUGGCCUCGCAGCCGAUCUGCGGUGGGAUGCGUGGAGGUGGCCUCGAUCCGUGGAGGCCGCCGUCCGUGAUGUGGCGGGCCCAUUCUGGGCCUGGCGGGCCAUGGCCGUGCUGUCCUGUUCCACUAAUUGUGUGGCUAGGAUGGUGGGGCCUGAUCCGGUGCGUGGGGCGGUUGCGGCGCCCUGGCCGGUGCCCGGUGGUGGUUUGGCGCGUGGCAUUCGGCGAGCUUCGCCGGCGCUCGUUGUGGUGAGGAGGCCUCUGGUCAGACUCGGCUAUUCGGUCCUGUCCGCGGUGGGUUUGGUGGCUGCGGGUGAAAACCCUGCAUCGACUUGGUCGGUGCCGACGAUGACGGAGUCCUCAGACGUCGCUUCCUUCUUGAAGGCGUCGUUGAGCAGCUCUGCCACUUCCCACCCUUCGCAAACGAGGUGACUCCGAGCGAAAGCUCUGAUCCGGUUUCCGGGUCAGGUAACGGCGACGUCCUCGGACGUCGCGUCCUUCUUGGAGGCGUUGCCUUUGGAGACCUCGUUUGGCGGCGGAGUUUGCUUGCUGUGGUCCUGGCCAGGGAGGACAACUUCGUGCUACACGGGCUUGCCGUUCCCGUCGGGGCAACCUCUUCAGUCUCCGGUCGUCGAAGAAGCCCCGCUCUGCCUACCUUCUUCUGGCGCAAGGACCGUUCCCUGUUUGAUGUCAUUGGAGCGGAGGAGGUCUUCGUCUUUGCAGUGGCGGCUUGUUUUUUCAGUUCCUGUGUAUGCUCUUUGUCAGGGUUUUCCGCAGGGCUUUCCUUGAAUAAGUCGUGCAUUUGUAUCGGUUUUUAGGCCCGGCUUUCCUCAUUAACAGGGCCAACUCUAUUCUUCUAAUCGAAUUGCGGGGAUCGACCGUUGCGUCCUCAAAAAAAAAUGGACCGUCGGGUUGUUGGAUUCAGCUUUUUUUUACACGCUUUUUAUUUUCAAUUUUGACUUUUAAAGUUUUUUAUUUUUUAUUUUGAGCUUUUAAUUUUUGAAGUUUUAGUUUUAGCUUUCUAUUUUAGCAUUUAAUUUUUAAUAAAUUCGCAGUAAAAAUUAAAGGGGGGGGGAAUCCACCGCCCGUCGUCGAUGAUGGAGACGCCAGGACGAGCCACGAUAUAUAGCGGUGCACGGCGGUUGGGCUGCUGGAUCCGUUUGUAGGAGGACGCGACCACCUGGAUCUGACCUCCUGGGGGGCCUUCCGUCGGAUCUCGGGGCGGCUUUCGGCCUCCUGAUGGUGCGUGUGGUGAGGAGGAGAAGGACGGCGACAACUCAUGGUGGGGAUGGAGGAGGUGGCGCACAGAGGAGGCGGGCAGGCCGAGGAGCGGUGGAACGUGGGGAGAAGGAUCAGCAUGGGAUGGGGGCGAGGUAGAUCUGAUGUACUCGCGGCGGUGCGUGGAGAGAAGAUGGCGACGAUGAUGAGGUGACGGGCCCCCGGGAGAGAGGAGGCACGAGAGCGAGAGACCAGGAAGAGAGGGGAGGGAACGUGGGGGUUAAGAGGUAGUACAUACGCGCAUUUUAGAAACCUCCCUCAAGAUAUUUGUUAGGAAACAACCUUGUAGAACAUGUCCCCAAGAUAACUAUGAAUAGACCAAAAUAGGUAUAUAAUAUAAUUUAUGCAGGUUUCACAAAUUAAUCUAUUAUGCAUGGAUUCUUAAUUUAAUGAACUAAGAGUGGAUAUACAAAAAAAAAGAAAUACUUUUGUUACAAAAUGUAUACAUUAAGUGAAAAUGUAUAUAUGCAAACAAGACAAACCAUAAAAUUAUAUAACAAAACUUUGGAUAUAAAUAUUUAGCAUCAAUAUUAUGUGGUUAAUUUUGUUAAGCAUAAUAGCGAAGUAUACUAAUUAGAAUCAUAUAAUUCAAAAAUUCAUGUUGUCUUCGUCAUUCAUUUUAUUGUUUUGUAUCUUAAUGUAUAUUGUUCUAUUUAUAAACUUUGUUAAGUAAUGACAAUCUACAUCAAGGUCAAUCAGAGGACAGUAAUGCAAUCAUUUCUACCGUUUUCUCUAAUAACGUAGAAUUGCAUCCCUUCUAUGAUAAGUUUUACAAAAAACUGGGCUAGCUUGCACGGACUCGACGGGGAUGGAUACAUCGGGUGCUGCGAUCCUUGACAAAUGAUGAAAAUGUGAAACACCGCUGUUUGGAUUAAGUUGCAACUGAAAAUAAGAACACAAAAAUUACACUUGUGUUGAAGAGUAAGCAUAAAAAUUACACUUCGGGUGUGUUCGAAAACUCUCUGCUCCUCCAAAACUCCAGAUAUCCAGCUUCCCAUCGCUACUCCAGCGUCUUGCAUGAAGCAGGGAACGUUCGGCAGCGCUCCGUUUUUUUCACUGGGCCGGAAGCCAAUUAGCACCGAGUUAACAGCCCACUGACCGAGUUGCUGGAUGCGUUCGGGAGCUGCCGCAUGCGAAGGCCCGCAGGAGAGAAUUAGGCCAUCUAAUCGAUCUCCUAUGAAUGGGAUGAGCCCAUUAAUCGACCUCUUGUGCGCGAGUUUCCAGAUGGCGCUAGUGGCGAAGCGGAUGACAUAUCCCGACGACCUCCGUGACGUGGUAGACAACCAGGAGGACGAGGAAAGGCGGCACCGGGGCUUCACGGCACCCAUGUGGGAUUGGUUGCCGCCACCGGACUUCUUGUGGAUGGACCCCUCUGCUCUCUAGGCCGAGCUCCUCCGCCAGCACGCCGGCUCUCUCUCGGCUUCGUCGAGCUUCGCCCCGACGUUCAUUGCGGAUGGACCCCUCUGCUCUCUAGGCUGAGCUCCUCCGCCAGCACGCCGGCUCUCUCUUGGCUUCGUCGAGCUUCGCCCCGACGUUCACCGCUUCCGGUUAUAGCGUACCGUCUGUUGAGUUGCUACGGCGGCGACUCCGCUCUGCAUCUUUCUGCAUCGGGCGAGGUGGAAGAGAGAAGGGGAUCGGGAGGAGAGGAACAGGGAAGAUGGGGAUCGGUAAGGGAAACAGAACCAGGCAAAACGACCGUAAUUUCAUCCUGCUCCACGUUUUGCAAUUCCAGGAAUCUCCAAAAGAAAUGCUCCAAGUUUUGUACAGCAAAUUAGACUAGCUUCUCAGAUCUGGCUUCUUGGAGUUAAGGUGUUUGACACUGCUCCACGAUGGAAUUUUGGGAAGCUGGAAGCCAGAGGACUUCCGAACACACCCUUAUUCUGAAACAGGAAACAAAAAAGAUAAAAGAAAAAAUGAGCCACAGAGAACUCGAACCUGGAAUUUGUUACCUCUACAGUCCAUCAACCACUAAGCCAACAACCUGAUGUUGUACAUUUUUUUUUGUGGAAAGUAAAACAUAUAUUACAUUAGAGCACCGAUACAAGGUGACGAACUUCGACAAGCGAAGUUAACAUAUAUAGGAUUUUGCGACAAACAGAUAAGUAGUAGCUCAAGAAGAUGCUCACAACAAGAAUGAGGAUGACCGCGGAAGGAGCCUGAUGGCGGAUCGGGCGAGAACUCCGACGCGCAACCACAACCAUAGUCUUCAGGGACCUCAGACCAAUGCGCUCGCCUAUAGUAUCCUGAUGGCUCUCCCAGAGAUCUGCUAGGCUUGUGCACCUGAGGUUGAAACCAACCGAGCCGUAGAUUUUCAUAAGCCUCACCAAGCUCAGUUGUAAGCUCACCCUUCCAUUAAGUCUGAGGUUCAGCAACGACAACGGUCUCACGCGCCAUCGGUGAAACUCUCGAAUGGAAAGGCUCUAACAUCCUCAUAUGAAGCAUCUUCAAACUCAUUACUGAUCCAAAUGCAACAAAGAUAAAGAUCAUUGUGCUCCACCUCACCUUCAAGCAUUGAGGCCAUGUGAUGAGUAACCAAUCUUGCCUCAUAUGCAACGAGCAAAGUCUCCCAAACCAGCUCACCAGAAUUUGUAGUCACCACCACAGUGACAAGGCCAAAUUGCCGGUGAAAUUGCAUAUAAUUGACCAAAAGAAAGAGAUGGUACUUCUUUCCCAGCUUCAGAAUCUUGUUGUCAGCAGAUGAGGAAUUGAAAUUGCUACUAGCAAUAACCCAAGAAUACUCCAGGAGAAAAAAACACUUGCUAUAACCUAGGGUAUUAAAGUGGGCGACAGGCACUAGACUUGGAUUUGUCGAUUACGGCUGUGUGGGCGACGAAGGCCAAGGAGAAUCCUCAAGCCAUCUCGCCGGCCACUUCAAGACCACCCGACUCUCAGCAUCCGACGGAAUGCCCAUCAACGAUUCCGUUGCUACGGAGAGAACCCAUUCCUUUGGUCCCUUUUUGUGCACAACACGCACCUGAUCUCCUCUGCAGGGAAGCCGAGACUGAAGGAAUCCACCAUAAAACGCUUGGAACGGACAAAGGCAGCAGGUGCAAGGGGUCUUGGAGGACGACUCCCCAGGCCGGGGAAACAGCAUUUCCCGCCAAAGGAUCGCAUCUUGAAGUAACUUCCGGCUCCCAAUCACCAUCGGCCUGGCCACCUCGGUCAGAUCGGGAAGAUGAAGGAGAGGGGAAGAAACCCAAGGAUCUGGUUUAUUGAAGGGGAAAACGAAAAGAAGGAAACUAACUAUACCUAACCACGCACAUACCUCCCUUCCCCCAUCCACUCCGCUGCCGGCUGGAGGGAAGGGGAAGGGAGGCAGGCGACGCUAACGGCACGCGGCCACGCACGGAGCGGUCGAUCUCCACCUACUACUCCUCAUGUUGUACAUGUUCAGUUGUUAACGUACUUAUCUAGUUUGUCCCUCACAAACUUCAGCACAGAUCUCGAAAACUGAUUUGACGGUCCCUACCGUCGACUGAGAAAUAAGAAUUCUCAGGCAACUGAGAACUAGCAAAUCCGUAAAGAAAAUUAUAACGGCGUUUCUUUGAAUCGAUAAGUUGCAGUGACAUUUAUGUAAUUUUUCCUUGCAAAUAUAGGACUGAGCGAGAACUUCUUUGCCAUCGGUGAUAGCAUCUUCUCUUUCCCAAGUAUUUAUCAUCCGGAGAUUAAUUCCGUCGAGAUGUUUCCCCACUUACCUUGGUCUAUUGAUACAGAUUACUCCGGUGUACACAUGUGCUAGCUACCACUUUCGGUUAGAAUAGAAGUGAAUGCAUUUUCCACUUAUGUGCAUCCGAAUUGUGUUAAAAGAUAUUACCUCGUACCGAUGUACUGUCCCUUUUCCCGUUUGUAAGAUCAUUUUUAGAUCAUCAAUUUGAUAAACAAAAUACAGAGUAUGAGUUUUAUGCGACAAAAGUAUGUCUUCAUAUGUUUCUCUGAAAAUAUGAGUAUAACCAUACAAUCUUUGUGCAGUACAUACAAUACAUAAGAUUUUUGAAAUCGACGAUGUGCGAGACUUGUAAAUCGAAAAGAAGGAAGUAUAUCUAUAGUCAUGGAAGUUUAUUUUAUUUUUCCGAGGGAUAUAGCCGCGGGCAAAGACAUUGGGCUAGUUCCAUGAAUGUACUAACAAGUAAACGAUCGAUUUCCAUCCGCAAAAACCGAGUCAAAGAUAUUGCACAGUUGCAAGAUCUCACGAGCCGCGAACGGGUCAGAACGACGGGCUUUAACGGAGCCAUUUGGAUGACGAAGCUGCAUACAUGCAUAGCAUAGAGUCACCUUACAGCUUUUUUGAGAUCGCUACAGGUAACACACUUUUCUGUUUUCACGCAAUUUUUUGUCUGCAUGCAAGUGACAGUGUUAUAUCUAUCCCGUGUGUCAUGAGGCCUCUGUCCGUUUCUGAAUGUCCCGUGCAUGGGUUCCCUGUGACAUUUGGCAGGAGACGAGGCCUUCGACGGGUCAAAUCGUCAAACGAGGGGAAACGAAUAUGAAAAGAGGAGAGAAAGAUGGUGACAAGUGCUAACAACGACCACAGCAGAUUAUUACUGCUUCCGUCCUACAAUAUGGGUCAUAUUAGGGUUCGGUUGAUCAAAUUUUUGAUUAUAAAUUACUUCAUGAAUAUGUAACUAAUGUGAUCAAAAUCAUAUCCAUGAGCAAAUAUCUUUGAAUAGAAAUAUAAUAGAUAUGAAUUUAUGUCAUAUAAUUAUAUAUUAAUAGAGUAAAUUGUGGUCAAAGCAUUGGUCAAAGGAAACCUAAUUCGUUUCUUAUUGUUGAACGGAGUUAGUAAUCAGCAGAUGGAUGCAGUAAAUAAAUACUCCAGCAUUUUGAGGUCUGAUUUUGCAGUUGAUUAAAUGCAAGUUGGGUGAGCUUUUGUUGUCGGACGCCGAUGGCAGCGUGCGGCGUAGUGGUGGGGGGAAGACGAUGGCGUCAGGAGUGUUUCGACUGGCAAGCAAAGGAAGGAACAGGUCGACAUUUGGAGCAGGUGAGGAGUGCAUGGCAUUUGUUUAUCUACCAAGCUAGCAAGAGCAUAUGCGAACUGUGGACCAAGGCUUGGCCGAGAUUAUGUCAUUUCAUUCUAAUCCGCCCGAAUUUGACUAUUCGAGUCAUCGAGCUCAUAAUUUCUGAGCUGAUACGCAAUCACUCUCUGUAAUUAACUGACGGCAUUGUUCGUUCACCGAACUGGCAAUGCCACUCACUCACUGAUUAAUUUGGCAAAAAAAUUUACCACUGCAUGAAUGUAGACACAUUUAUGCACCGGGUUGGGUUUUACUUGUCCGGCGAAUGUCCGGUUUCACCAAAGACAGCGGCAAGGAAUGGAAUCUUCUCUCCCAGCAGCAGCAGCUAGCAGGUAAAAGUAAACAAACAACCAAGAAAAGAACGCAGCUGGCUGGCCGAAUGCAAUACAAACAGCAACAAAAUUCCAGCAGUAAAUAUAUAUAGCAUACCCGGCCGUGGUAAGAUCCGGAGUUUUGUACCAUCACCACCAGCUCUCUCCCCGUGCGUGCGUGCGUGCGUUCGUGCUUACCUGCAGUUAGUGCUGUCAGUAACGAACUGUAAAACUUUGGCAGCAAAAGAGCUGUCAGUAACGAACUGUUAAAAACAUUGGCAGCUAGCAAAUGGAUACAAACAAGCAAGUCGGCCGUCGCGCCAUUGGACCCAGCCGCCCUUGCAAUUUCGCUUCCUGCGUCACCUUCGUCGUCGUCGUCCUCCUCCUCCGGCCCGUCCCUUUCUCCUCGGCGAAACAUGUCGCCAUUAGAUGCGACUUGCUAUAUAUACUGUAGUGCGCGCACUAUACCCAUAUACAUCACAUAUCUAUACAUAUACUCUACUGCUAUAUAUAACAAAAGCUGCAGUCACCAAUCGAGCUAAGCUAGCUGCAAUUGGUAGCUAGGGAGAACAGAGAAAGAAGAAGAUACCUUUAGACUUUGGAGUGUCUGUCUGGGGUAGAGAAUGAUGCAGAGGUACACGGCGAGGGAGAUAUGGGACAUGGAGGAGCGCCAGAGCCCGCGCGCCGUAGGGUGCGGCGGCAGCGUCGUCCUCGGCGUCGACGGCGGCGCCAGCAACACCGUCUGCGUCUGCAUCCCGGCCACCGCCGCCAUGGACAUGUCGCCUUUCGCCGAUGACGGCCCACCGCUCCCCAUCCUCGCCCGCGCCGUCGCCGGAUGCUCCAACCAGAACUCCGUCGGAGGUAACCACCACGCUGCCAUUCUUCAGGAACCAAACGGGCAUCGAUCAUCAAAAGCUAGCUUGAUUAAUUUGCCAAGAAUUAUAUGUAUUCUUCAGAGGACAGGGCGAGGGAGACGCUUGAGCGGGUGAUGGCGCAGGCGCUGCACAAGGCUCGCCGGAGACGGUCCAGCGUGGCCGCCGUCUGCUUGGCCGUCGCCGGGGUCAACCACCCCAUCGACCAGCACAGGAUGCUGGACUGGCUCAGGUCAGUCAAUUCGCCCCCCUCCUCUUCCUGCACUGAAGAUAUCUCUUAUCUUAACUGCAUUCAAAUCCAUAGAUAAUACUACAGGAAACUGAACGGAAUUGAACUGACACUAAGAUUUAACACAUGUGUUUCCUGCAGUGAGAUUUUCCCAAGUCAUGUGAAGCUGUUUGUGGAAAAUGACGCGGUGGCAGCGUUAGCGAGCGGUACCAUGGGCAAGCUCCAUGGGUGCGUGCUCAUUGCCGGGACAGGGACGAUCGCCUACGGUUUCACCAGCGACGGCAGGGAUGCCCGGGCAGCUGGUGCAGGGCCAGUGCUAGGUGACUGGGGCAGGUACAUACAUAUAUACAACCACUCUCAUUUCUAACUAUAUCUUUCAACUCACAUGUUAAAUUCUGCUACAGCAUACUACUCUGCAUUUCUUCUAAAAGCUAGUUCAUGUCAGGAGCAAUUACUGAAUCUGAUUUCUUGCUAUAUGGCAAUAUGUAUAUGCAGUGGAUAUGGGAUUUCUGCACAGGCAUUGACAGCAGUUAUCAGGGCCUAUGACGGCCGAGGUCCUGAAACGGUGCUUACAAACAACAUCCUUGAUUUCCUUGGACUCGAGUCACCUGACGAAUUAAUAGGGUAAAUCCUUUCCGCUCCACUGACUUCUUUGGUUCUACUUCAUGUGAACAUAGGCAAAAGUUUGUUUGACUUACCAUUUAAAGAACAUAUACUCGAAUAGCCAUCAUCUGAAUAUUAUGUGAACUGAACCAUAAUACUAACCAGAAUUGAAGAGCACAUAAUGGAACACCACAAGGAAUGCGCCACUGUAAAAAUCGAAACACUUACUUACAUGUUGAUUCUUCUCACAACAGUUGGACAUAUGAAGACCAAUCCUGGGCGCGCAUUGCUGACAUUCUCCCUGUGGUGGUAGAAUCUGCCGUUGGCGGCGAUGAAGUAGCAAACAAGAUCUUGCACAAUUCAGUUGGUGAACUGGCUUCCAGUGUCAAGGCUGUUGUACAGAGACUUGCGUUGAGUGGCGAAGGUGAACUAGGAACUUCUUUCUGAAUGACAUGCAGAAUAGGCCAUGCACAAAAUACAUAGGGUAUUCUCAUACAUAAGAAUUACAAAUGAGAAAUAAUUUGAUGCCUGCACAAAAAGUAGAACUUCUGAAUCAUCCGGAUUCGGUUACCCCAUAAACACAGAUUUCAAGAUGCUUCUGGCCUUUUGCUUUUGCAGAUGGAAAAGAUUUAUUUCCACUUGUUAUGGUUGGCAAAGUUCUUGAGGCAAACAAGAGGUGGGACAUUGGGAAGGAAGUGAUAGAUUGUGUUACCAAGACUUAUCCAGGAGCCUAUCCAAUACACCCCAAGGUGAACAAAACACACUUUGAUUCAGAUCAUAAUGUCUACUAGGAAGUACUCGAGAUUCCGCUAUCUUAAUUAGGGGAUUGACGGAAAUGAUUUUAUUGACGUCAGGAUACAAAAUUAAGGAAAGUUAAAAAGAUCAACUUAAAAUAGCUAUAUUGAAAUCCAGAAAGAAGAUAUUCAGAUCCUAUUCCGAUUAAUUUUCACAGCGAACUUAUGUUUGGUUGUACCUGCAGGUGGAACCAGCUGUUGGUGCAGCAUUACUAGCAUGGAAUGCUAUAGCAAGUGAAUUAGAUGAUGAUCUUAGGACUGCUGUUUAGGGUGUCCAACAUUUAAUCUCAUAUCACACUGUUGUAAAUUAUGUUUUUGUUUACAUUAUCACCUAGUGGUUUGCAUUUUUUGUACCAAGUUGCUUUGAACAUGCUCUAAUGUCUUCAAGAAGGUUUAUACCACAAAUGUGUGAAAAGGAGAGAAAGAAUACUAGUUUAGCAAAGUUUUUUAAAUGGAAAAGGUGUAACCAAAAGGAAAUGAAGAUGCUUCUGUUAGUUCUUGCUCCCAAUAAACCUUUUAUAUAAAACCUAAAGUUUAACAUCGCACAUCCACAAAGAUAUAUGUACUUCAUAAAUCAGCGAUAAGCAAAGCGCCAUCAUACCACUGUUGUGGACCUGUAAAAAUGUAUGUACUUCAGAAUCUACAUAAUAAGCCAAAUGGAAGGUAGGCACUUACCUCAGAUACAGUCAACUAUUGCACAAGCAAACUUUGAAACAAUGAUCACAAGUCCACAACAGUGUUAUCAACCAUCCAUCCAUACAUAUCUCAGAUACACGUUUACCAUGUAAGUUCAACAACUUAAAAAUAAGUAAACAAAACUUUAGUCCUGACUAACAAUUGAAACAAUGAUACACUUGAUUCAAAAUUUGAAAUACCAUUAUUGCUCUUUAGAAGAUUGCUUUCUUAACAAACAUCAAAUGUUGUACAUAAGUAUAUCCCAUAUAGACUUAUAUGACCAUUAUUACUACCAGAAUUUUACACAAUGAAUAUAGGGAAAUAACUAUUAAUAUAAUGCAUUUAUAAAAUCUUGAUGUUAGUUCUUACUGCAGAAGAAACAAUAUAUCAAAAUCAUUUAUGUACAGAUUGGAGGAAAAAAGUGCGAUCGCCCUCGCUUAUAAAACAUGUUGCAACAUGUACAUCAGAAUGCAUUCAAUAGACUUACAUAUACAGUAUACUAUGUGAAUAUACCUUCUUUGGAGUGAUAAGCCACGAAAGAACUAAACCAAUUACUCAUAUUUGUAUUAGACAUAUCUACAGAUCAAAAAUCUAUGUGCAGUGAACCUAGCUUGUAUUCAUAUCCCGGGUUUCAAAAUUCAGUGUGAUAGACACCCUCAACUCCAUAACAACUGUCGAUUUGCAUAUUCAGUUUGGCCAGAUGCUUUUAAUGGGAUAUUGUUACUCCAUGACAUCAAUAACUUUCUAACACCUCUUCAGCCUCGUCUUAAUUUAGAACCUACAUUAUCUGUAAAAUGCCAAAGGUAAAGCACCAAUCAACACCUUCAUACACAAUAAUCUGUUGUGAUAUGAUGGAACAUAAAUAGUGACAAACAUUCAGAGCUGUAAUUUGUUAGAGCCUUUACAUUCCAAUUACAUAUCCUGAUACUCCAGUAAAUUAAGAUGGUACAUUGUCUAUACAAAUAGUAUGGUACCGUAUGAAGAUUUUCAGGUGACGCUCUUUACACUAUUUAGUAGCAUGUCACGCCUUUAUCCUGAUAGAGAUAUGAGAAUAUGCUAGCUGGCUAGGAUUGACAACUAUGUUCUUUUCCUAAAUUACGCAUGCCAUCUGCACAUCUUUUUAUAUGAUUAGCAGCUAUAAUUUCUCCAUAAUACGAGUUAACAAGUUACAUUGUAAUAUGCAUACCUAGAAGUUAACAAUAAGAAAUUUUCUAAUGGAUAUUUAGAAAUCUAACAAUACGGUUGCAGUAUCUCCACAGGUGAAAUUUACAACUGGAAUAUAUCCAUUUAGUGGCGCGUCAGAAAGGUCAUCUCACCUGCUGCAUCAAGUUAUGUUGUAUCUUGCAAAUCAUCCUUUUGUUUGUUUCUUAAACCUGCAACAAGCUUGCAUGUCUUCAAGAAAGUAUCCAGUAACUGCACACACAGUAUUAAGUAUGAGUGAGAUUCUUCCCUUCUGACUACUAAAGAUUUACAUUAUAAGGCACAUAUACACAAGCAUCAAAGCAUGUCAUUAUUAAAACAAACAAAUUUUCAACUUUCAAAUAUAACAGGUAAGAAUAUGCAAGUUAUGACAGGAGAAGCCAGCCAAAUUCAAUAACACGCUUAGUAUUUUAUGCAAGUAAUCUGCAUUAAAGAAACAGUAAUGCUCAAGGAAUAGUAAGUUCCAUGAUAAAAUAAAAGGAAAGAUGAGGAACUUAGCAUCGGUCACACAUCAUACUUACCCCAGGAUACUGCUGAAAAACAGGAGAAUAAUGCUCGAGAGUCACAUAUAUCUUUUUAACAAGAGCUAGGAGUGCAGUAACCUUGUUUCCCAAAAUGUCAACCUGAGUCAAAUGGACAAACACUUAAAACAGGUUAUGAUAUAAGAUGAAUUUAGUAUACAUGAGUUAUUGCAGUCAAAUAAAAGCAUACUCGAAGAAAGCUCAUAAUGUAUCAAAAUCAAUUUCAAAUGGGUUCAAAUCAGCACUAACUCACUUUUCUACUGUCAGUAAUGUAUAAUAAACAAUGUCCUACUCACCCACUUAAUUAAAACAUCACGGGGGCAUCUUUCCCCUUGGCCGAGACUCGAGAAAAAAUAAUGUAUAACAAACAAUGUUCUACUCAUCAAACAAUUACUAACCCUCUUGAACAGUCACAGAACGAACAUGCUUCUGUAAAUACCUUCUGGUGAAAAAAUAAUUUAAGAUAACAAUGACUGAAUCGAAAUAAGUAAUGUGUCCCAGAAGGGGACACAGAGCUAACAAAAACACUGCGAUUAUCUGACAAAUGGAUGAGCGUAGCAUGAAGUAGCUGUAAUCCUGAAAAUCUGGAAGCAGAGAAAUGCAAAACUAUUUGAUAAUGUCAAUCCUAGCAUAGCAUCCUGGCUAUUGAGGAAUAUGAAAGAGAAGCCAGCUCAUCUACAGGCUUUGCUAGACUCCCUCAAUCCCCAAAAAUGUAUAUUCUCCCCUAGUAAAGCUUUUUGCAUGUAUCAUUACUCAAUACAACCAAGAGAAUUCACUUUGCACUUCACUAUACAGGUACCCUUUUUUGCGAGGAUAAGAAGUACCUUCAUGAAUUGGAUAACUCUCAACAGAAGACCAAUUGAAAGCUACACAACAUUAGACAAGAUCAGAAAACAAAUACCUCAGCUUCAGCUUUCCGGAUCUCGGAACGUCUUGUGUCUAGCAUUUGCUUAUACGAGAGGCCCUUCUUUGUUAGUACUAUUGCCUGUUGAACCACAUGGUUGCAUUGGUCACUCAGAUUGUCUGACCUGCAUUCAAAAGUAAUCAUCAGUAUGUGCUAGAAUCAACAAUAUCGGAUUAUAUACAGACGAUAUAUGCACUAACCUUUUCUCACUUCCUUUUAUAUCUCCUGACAUUUUAUGUUCAAUCUCCAAAAAUUCUUUUGACAAAUCCAUAAUCGAUACCAUAAUGCAAUCUAGUUGCUUUUCGUCCACAUUUUUUCCUUGAAAAAUGUUGUAAUCCAAUUUUUGUUUUUCAACUUCUUGUAAGGCAGUUGAGGCGACCUCUAAAGUCUGGCUCAGUUUAAUGAGUUCCUCAUCAUGCAUACUGUGCUCAGAAAUUUCAUAUGAUCUUCUUGGUGAUACAUGAGGCUCCAUCUCGAUAUCACGGAGUAUCAUUUCCUCAUUCUCUUGCUUGGUUAGCUCUGGAUCUUCCUGGUUAUUUUGGAUUAAAUGUGUCUUUUCUAGAAUGAAUAAUUUUUCCUUUAACUUCUGAUUUUCAUCAUUAGCUAAACACAAUGCCUUCUCCUUUUCUGAGAGUCUGGCUUUAAGUGAUGACACUUCUGCUUGAAAAUUCUGUGCGUCAACAUCCAUACUGAUCCUACAGUCGUCCACCAACUUUCUUGUAACAGUUUGAUAUACUUCAUCCCGAAUAGUGCUUUCAACAUAGAGAUCCUCAUAUUCUCCUUUAAUGGUGCUUACUUGCCUCACAAGUUGCUCUUCCAAUGACAACUGAAGUGAGAUUUUCCUGCUGGCAUCAGAUAUCUCGUCCGAUAAUUCCUCAAUAUCCUUAAUCUUUUCUGCAAGCAAAUCACGAAGGUGCUUGUUUUCAUGGUAUACUGGAUCAGUUCUAUUAUUCAAUAUGCUAUUUUCCUCAAGUGCCUCACUAGAUCUGUAAACUGUUGGUGCCUCUAUGGUACUUGAAAUGAUUUGGUCAACCCUUGAAAUGAUCUCAGGAACUUUCUUCCUUAGAGGCUCAAAUUCAACAUCAUACUUAAGAUCCAAUGAUGCCUUCUCUCGUUUGAAUUUGAACAGCUCUUCCGUUUUAUCUUGCAAGUACAAUUCAUGCAACCUCUUCAGUUUACUAAUCUCAGAUCUGAAGUAGUUUAUCAUUUCUUCCCUAGUCAUACCCUUCAGGUGUCGGAAGUCUGAUUUUUCUGAAAUUACUUCUCUGGGGCUUAUGGACUUCUGUGUUGCAGAGUUCCUCUGUUCCACACUGAAAGAUGAAGAGUUUUCCUCCCCUAUUUUCAUUCUGAGGAGAUUGUAUUUCCAUCUGUCACUGUUGUUACCCAAAUGUUCAUGCUUGCAGUAGGAAAUAUGUGAUUCGUCUUCUGAAGGUAUUAGCAUAUUAGAUAUAGAAAUUAAUUCUUCACGGAUUACACCACACUGACCUACAGUUUCCUUCCAGUUCUUUCUUAGAUUGUUCACAGCAUUAUUUUGCUCAUUCAACUUCCUCUCAAGCUCAUCCUGAAGACCUCUGAUGCAAUCUCCAAUCAUGAUUCCUGUGACCUCUAAUUGUAACUCAUGCUCCCACUGAAGGUCAUGAAUUGAAGCAUUGAACAGGCUCAGCAUCUCCUUAAUUUGCCGGAACACCACAAUCAGCAGUAACUUGAGGUCGUUGAACCCCUCAUCCAUCUCUAUUAGCUUCCCAUGACGACAUAUCAUAGGGCAUGAAACAUUUCCAUCACCGUCAUGGAUCAAGUUGCAGCUUUUCAAGACCCUUGUAUCCUCCUUGAGCUUAUUAAGAUGCUGAUCAACUUCCAGUUUCAUCAAAUCUAAGUAUUCUGUGUAAUUCAAUUCCACAUUUGCAUCCAAAAGGUGUUGGUGUAUCCGUGACACUACCGUUGAAAACGCAUCAAAGUUGCUCCCGAUAUCGCAGCUGCAGUUGCAGGACAACAACCAUGGCGGUGGCACUGCUGAAUCUUUGAACUUGUUAGGCCCUUUGUUAAGCUCGCCGAAAGAAGGCUGCAUGUCAAGAGAAGGCCAGCACACGCCAUUCUGAGCUGUAUAUCGUGACUGACUAGUUGUGGCUGGUAUUGUCAAUCUACUAAGAAAUGGAUCCAUUCCUUCAUCAAACACCUGCAAUGCUUCUCAUGUUAAGAUUCGGGAAUUGAUGGCCAACUCAGAAAGUAAAUGAUUUAGUGCAAAGUGAACUAAGGAAAUGAUUUAAAUAAAUGUAAUGGAACACCACAAACGAUUUGUCUGAAAACUGGAAACAGGUAAGACCUACGACUCAGCACAAGCAAUUAAUUCUUGGAUAGUGUCUAAGAAGGAUUUUAGAUAGUACGGGGUGCACUGUAGGAUUUGCAACAAGUGAGUAGUACAGCUUGUUUAGGACUUACUCCAGAAUGCUGCAUCGGUAAUCUAGGUAGCAGAAACACAGGCGGGUGAAUUAACUAACAGACGCCGAAAUUAUCUCAAACUUAUGACCCCCUAAAACUGCAACUCACUCGAAUGUUUCAGUGCUAUUCCCGAAUGCCCCCCAAAUGAUGUAAGAGGUGGUAGCAGUAGCAGAAUCGGUGCAAGUUGCAGCCGGCGAGCGGCGAUAACAAUGGCAGGAAACACCAAAACUAUAUCAUAUAUAUCUAUUCCACUCCAGCUCGCACCGGAAACUGCCCCCAACCAGCUGCAGCUAAAAUGCGCGGAAGCGACAGCAGCCGAGUCAUUCGAUCGGCUGAAACAGCGAGCCCCCGCACACUGAAACCCCCCUCGAACCUUGCGCAUGCAGCGGCCUGAGGCCUCAACCUCAAUCCCCGCAACCCUAAGCAUAAAGCGUUACGUACGACAUCCCCGGCGGUCAGCCACACCCGCGCGCACAGCAACAGACCCUCUCUGAAGUCUGAACCGCAGCACAACACCAAGCAAGCAAGUUCAGAAUCCGACCCCACCGCAGAGGAUUUUUACCGCGAGAUUUUACAGCGGAAAACGGAAGCAGAGAGAGACACUCACGGGCUGGAUCCGCGCCAUGGGCAGUCGCAGCUAGCUUCACCUAGCUGCGACGGCGGGGAGGUGCGGGACUCCUCUUCUGCAAACGGCGGGGGCGGCGGAGGAGGUUGUCUCUACUCUCUAGGGUUUGGGAGAGGCAGGAGGAGCGGAAGAGGGAGAGAGGCGGUGGUGAUGCGAGAGCCGGGGGCUGGAUGGAUGGAUUGGAGUGCUCCAACGAUCGCCCCCGCGAGGAAGACGACACAGCAGUGAACGAACGAGUCGGGAGCCGGACGGCGCGGGGGAGUAGUAACGGACCAACGGUGGGGGCGGGGUGAAAGCCACACGGGGCGCGACGGAGGAGGCUGACGUGUGGGUCCGGGGUGAGUCCGGGCCCAUCGGGCGGCGGGGGUGGUUGGCUUUCCGUGGAGUGGGAGUGUGACGUGUGAGUGGGGCCCGGGAGUCAGUUGCGGGGGUGGAAGAGUCGUAGGGGGUGCUGAGCUGGAUAGGGGGCGGGGAGCAGUACAGUAGGAAUGUAGGAGGGGUGGGGGUCCUUGAGCUUCUCGAGAUGCGCGCCGGGUUUGAGGACGGCCGUUGGAUCUGCCGGCUGGAUGCUUUGGCGCUGCCGUGCCAAGCCGGGUUGGGUUGCGUUGCGUUUUACCGUCUGGCAUGCACUUUGGUUUUUCUCCUCCCGUUGUUAUUUGGGGCCAUAGUUUAUUCCGUAAUUGUAUCUUGAUUCCAAGGGGUUUAAUAAAGUAAAGUACAUCCCCGUAGAAAAAAUAAAAAAUAAAGUAAAGGAUAUCUGAACUAAAACAGCAACAAGAAUUAUGAGACCGAGGGAGUAAUCUCUUUCAUCUAGAACCAUUGUUUUAACCAUUCUAAAGCUUGGACACCAUGGUGUUUUAUUCCACCAUGGACAUCCUGCCUUAUUUUUAUAAUACUCUCUCUGUCUGAUUUAAAUCUAAAUAUGGACGUAUCUAUAUACUAAAAUAUGUCUAGAUACAUGUAAUAGAAAGUCAGUUAAUAUGGGACGGACGAAGUACCAUCUAAUUUUUCAUGGUUUCCUACUUUCCUCCCUCUCAAGGAAUAAAAUGAAGAAUGAACAAUUCGAUCAUAUGUGUACUCGAAACACCUCAUUAUAAAUUUCAGCUGCACAUGGAAAUCAAUAUGUGAAGAUCAUGCACUCGACACCUCUAGAAUAAAGUACUGGGUCUGGAUUUGGAUCUGAUAGAGCCAUUAGUUUCAUCGUAGAUCUGUAGUGGCAUGUUCAUGUUGGCAGUUGAGACAACAGGAAGAUGCCUUUUUAUUGGUACCAUGCAUCCAGACAUCCAGUUAAGGUCUUCAUCAAGUGGAAGAAUUAACAAACGGGCUUUCCUAAAAGAAGAAAAACCUAUCUCUCAAACUCAAUGGUGAUGAAGUGUGAAAGGGUUCAUACACCUCACAAUUAUGAAGCGAGACCGUAUACAUACAGGCACAGCUGUUCUUGGUAGAAACAAAGAGGAAAUAACUGAAAGUGUCUUUUGGGCACCUGACAGUGAAGGAUGCACCUAAAGUAGCAUGCCCACAAGAUCCGCAUGAGAGCCUGGAAGCUGGACAAAAAGGGAAGCUGAAAGGUACAGCUCACCUAAAUUCACUACCAGAACACCUGAACCUGUCUGAAAAGUUGGUUCCAUUUACAGUCUUUCCCAGCUGCAGCACCCGUAACCUUUGCAUACAGGUCAUGGUCUCAUGGAGAGAAGAGAUGCAGGGGUAGCGAUCACCUUCAUCAGCUGAAACAAGAAAGAAAACUGCAUGGCAUGUCAGCAUGUGCAUGAAAAUGAUGCCAGGAAUCUUCUCUUUGUCAUACUUCUUGCAUGACCAGGAACAGAAGUGGAAAAGUGGCACAAUGAUGGAAAAAGGCAGGGAGUUUGAUAUGUUCUUAUCCUUAAGACACAUCUUUUCCUUAGAUUGCUCCAGAAUGCAGGUGCUUUGGAAGAGACCAAAUAAAGCAUGCAUAAAUUAAGGCAUCAAUCAUGCCACAUGAUGGGGAUUAGCAUCCUUUUGACCAUAUAGAUAAAACGGAGCUGCAGCUUAGCUAGCCUUCUGAUAACAAUGUUGCUUUAGUGCAUGAAAGUUAUGACAUGUAUACAGCAAGAUGGGCACUUGAAAACAAUUUUACAACUCAGCAUGUAGAGCAGUAGAUGGACAGGAAUAACUAGCUGGUAUGUAGGACCUCACAGCCAAAAGUGCGCUUUGUUUUUAUUCAUCAUGUGAGGGUGAGGCAGAAGCUUGUGAAUAUUGACAAUUUUACAAUCCAAGCGAGCAUAAUUCAUUUAUCUGUUACGUUUUUCAUCGCGGUUAAAUAAUCAUGAUCCAUGACACUGUAACCUUGUAAACCUCAUCCAUGUGCCAGCUUCUUGUCUCAACUCUCACCUCUUUGCUCGUCUACUCUCUUGAGCAUGUUCUGGAUCCCUGGCAUCAUCCCCUUCAAACUGCAAAAGCAGAUGCGCACACCAGCAUCCAAAAGCUUGAAAAUCUCAUCACUCUACUCCUCGAUCUUGUACUGGACGUACAUCUUGCCACAGCUCUUGUUCUUCUGCUCCCGGCUUAGUUCAUUGGCAUACCUGCAAGGUUGACAAAAGUUGAGUCAGUUCGCACAAGAAUCAAGCAGCCGUACUUAAGACAGACAUAAAAACAACUGGCUCGUAGAGAUCUGAAUUGCACAAGUAAAUGGACAUAAUGCUUUAAUCAACAAAGAACAGGUAAGUAGCAUUCUCAACUAUAUGAUACUCUGAAAUGAAUUUUCGAGCAUGAUAAGUCUGGAAACCUGAAAUUAUCUGGAUACUGGUGAAGGUAGUCUGUGAACUCUUCAUCAUAGAGAAGGCUACCAGUGUUGGCGACACAAAGGGAGAGCCAAGACAGACGACUAAACUUGAAAGCUGGUACAUCUUCAUAUCUCAAACAUAAAAUGCUCUCAACAUCUCAAACACACACGGGCUUGCAGAAAAAAAAAAAAGACCCAUCUCAAACACAGAGUAACGUCAGCCUUUGGUAGAAGCAUAUGCAUAGAUGAAGUACCAAUGUUUCAACGAUGUCAGAUUGUAGCUAAAUGGGAACCCAAACACGUCUGCGAUGAUGAAAAAAGAAAAAUGAGAGAGUGGUUUAUUCCUUCGGAAAUAGAUUGUUCUCGCAGGCUGAAAGCAAAUGAAAAAAAAAUCCUAAAUCCUAAGUAUAUUCUGUUACAUUCUUAGGUUCUUGCUAUUUCACAAUGUCAAGCAUCCAUUACCAUGCUUCAAGAAUGCUCAGAGCCUCAGAGUUUGGCCACCUAGUUGGUGCAAAACAAAAUCUGGCAUCAUACUGUCAUCUGGUGAAACUAUCUGGUCGAAACCACCUUGUGGCACAUGUCCUGACAUAUUCAAGCAAUAAGUUUUACCGCUUCUGUUCCAGAGACAAGUGUAUCUUCUACAAACGGUAUGGUCUUCCAUACUUUUAAUCCUACUGGUACAGGACAAUUUUCAGAACCUGCAACAUGCACCAACGACAAUGAGCGACUGAAAGAACAAGAUAAUCAAACCGUUUGUCUCCAGACUGGAAAGUUGAAGUACAAACCUAGAUUUCUGGGAUCGUCCUCUAUACAGACUGCCAUGUAGUGAGAACUAUUCAGCUCGGCUAGUGUAAAUUGCCAAUUCUCAGACAGAUUAUCACAACCAGAAUGGGUAUCAUUGCAUAAUUUUGAUGCCUGGCAAAUCCAACAAGAAACCAGGCAGAUCAAUAAGAUGGUUUGAUGUUAAAUUGCAAAAUGAAAUAACAAAGUGGCUGACUUCUAUGAUGUUCUAGGAUAAAUAAAGACAAGAUACAAUUCCUUAUGAAAUUUGCUUAAUAUGACUACUGACCGUUUGGUCAAAACAAAUGUUAGGGGCCCAGGGUCCAGAAGACCCACGUGUCAGAAGGUGUCGCAAAAUAUCAUGUGAAUUGUGUUCACACACAUAGAUCUGGAGCUCCCUUUCACAUGCAGUAUAUGUUUGUUAAAGACACCAAUAAAGGGGAAAGGUCAAACAACCACAUACCUUAGAAAUCUGAAUUCCCUGACUUGUUCCCAACACGAUUGAAAACCUAUUGAAUGGAGCACCUGAGAAAUCCCUUCCAAGAGCCUUUACAUAUGCUUCCUAGAAUUUAGAUAGAUAUCAAUGGUAGCUCCAUGUAAGCAAUAUAUUUUGCACCUUCAUAUCAGUAAUCAGUAUUAUUAAUAUUUAAUUUACAUAGGGCAAUAUUUUGUGCAAACCCAACUUUGGUGCUAACUCUUCUUAUAGUGAUUCCUUUUUCCACGAAACAUUAUUCAUAAGACAGAAGCCCAUCCUAUGGGUCCUUCAAUUUGAUACAAUUAAUACCAUCAUAUGUUACGUACGAGUUAGCAAGUUAGUUCCAAGCCUGAUUUAUAGAGGAAAGAACAACAAAGUCAGCUACUGUGUGCUUUAUGUGGUCACAUUAGAUUACGUCAUGAUUCAUGAAUCAGUUGAUAGACAGACAGCAAAUCGGCACAAUAUAGUGAUUUGCAUAGGGAAGGGCUGUAAAGUAGAGGAGCAAAGAGAGCAGCACUAACUUUAAGAGUCCAUAGUUUUAUGAAUUCCUUCCGCUGAGCAUCCAAAUCAGAAAUCUCAGCUAGAUAGUCAACUUCAGAAGGGGUAAAAUAACGGCAAGCAAGAGAUAAAAUACUCUUGGCUGUCUUCCGCUUCUUCUCUUCAAUAUCAAUGCCAAUCUGAGUCAGUACAUAAAACAUCAAUGUCAACUGAAUAACUUCCACAGCAACAGAUCGAAAUAUGGGCAUUUCUUUCUCUCACUUUUGGCAGACACAGGGAAAAGGAACAUACAUGAGCAUGAAUGGCAAUGCCACAGGCAAUCAAAGAAGAUGUGUGUGAAAUAUUGAAAUGCAAAGGUCGUUCCACAAUGCUAUCAUCAGGUGGCCACACUAUCUGAUCAAACAUGGAAAGUACUUUAAAGGGAUCUUAGUUACAACUUACAAGACUUUAAACUCCAGAUAAAAGAAACCCUGAAGUAUAUAACCUCUUACCUCAGGUUUGCCGAAUUUGUUCUUCUUAAACUCAAAUGACCUUGGAUCAAUUUUACAAUCUGUAUCUAGUCUAGUUCAAACAAAUUAGCAAUAAGCAUAUCAGUGAUUCUGUAGUGCUAUCCCAUGACAUGUUUGAUGCUACAUAAAAUAUAAUUAGUAACAAGACAAGAAUAUACUAGUAUAAGGGAGUGCCUACACUAGUGAAUCUAACAUCUGCACCAAAUUUCUCGAUUGAAUAACUCCUAAUAACAAGAUUGCAGACAACAAUUAUUGGAUGAUAGUAACAUACUAACAGGCAUGAAAAUUACAUUAAAUGCAAUCAAAUAUUCAAUAGGCGGUUGGUGGUUACAUACAUCUUGAGAGAGUGGUGCGCAACAAUGCACGGGACAACAUAGCGUCUUUCUGCAAUGUUGUUUCAUUCAUAGACAAAGCAUACUUUCGUUCAGCUGGAGAAAGGAGUUCCGCAUAUAUCUUCAGUUGGGAGUGAUCAGUCAACUCGUCAGGCAAAGAUACCAAACAUGCACCUCUCUACAGAAGAGAUAAACACACAGACUGAUGUCCUCAAAAUAUUAUAAUGCACCGCUGUUGCGACAAGUAAAGAUCAACAAUUUGUAAAUGUAAAAGAUAAGAGUUACACUCUCAUCAAGCACAGGCUUUGUGCAACCCAAGAGAAAUAACGACCCAAAGCUAUAUUACAAGGUGAUUCAUUUCUUGAGUUGUUGGUUAAUUCCAGGCCAAAGCUCCUUUAGCAAAUGCCCAUUGCAAGCCCGAAUGAAGUCCACAAACUACAAUCUUAGCAAAUGAUCGUCUCAUCCUCUAAUAGCAGUUGUUUAACAUCACUGGUUUGUUUACUCUUGCAGGAGAACUAGUAUAGUGACUGCGUGGUUACUGAUAUGUUCAAUGCUCAUUUACUACCUUACUGUCAUGCACAUAGGAAGUUAAGGACAGUGGCUAAUUUGACUUUUACAGCCCGUUUGGCAACCAUCAUUUCAUUUCAUUUGGUAGAAAUGAAAUGAAAUCCAAUUUUUUAUAGGAUUUCAUUUGGUUGAAUUUGAAUUACUUGUUCAAAUUAAUGUUUGUCUACCACAUGGAUUUGUAGAGUGAGAGACAAUUCCAAAGAAAUGAUGGCUUUUGGAGAGGAAUUGGGGUUAGUUAUAGUGCAAUUCCAUGAAUUUGAGAUUGAAUUCCUGUGGUCAAUUCCGUGCCAACCAAACAAGUUCGUUUCUGGAACUUAAAAUGAAUUCCAAAAUUCUAGACCCAAAUGAUGGGUGCCAAAUGAGCUGUUAGUGAUCCACAUAGGUUUAGAAAUGGCAACCGGAAGCUACCAGCGAUCUUGCCAUCUUCUAAUAUUGUCAGAUAUAAUGCACUACUUCCUGUAUCUAAAUGCAUAUACCAGCAAAUGCCAUAUCGCCAUACUGGUUUCAUGUAUCUGGCUACUAGCCGUCUCUAGCUUUCCCCAGAUCUACCAUCGGCCCAGCAGGCUCCCAGUUCCCAGAAACUCACAACCUAAUUGCAAGGUACUUCAAAGGAAGGGAGGGCGUACCUCCGGAACCGGAGAGGUGGCGGCGGCGGGAGGGACGCGAAGAGGCGCCGGCCGGAAACCCCCGGCGUCUUCAGCGGCAGCGGCGGGAGAGGCAUCGCGCGGCAGCGGAGGAGGCGGUGGUGCAUGCGGCUCGGGUGCUUGGCCUCUGCUCCUCCCGAUUUGGUUUAUGGCGCGGCAGCGGAGAAGGCGGUGGCAAGAAGGGACCAGCCGGGAGCCGGCCUGUUGGUUUCUUGAGUCCGCCGCACCGGGAGCAGGGAAGCUCGGCGGCGGUGCAGACCCAGCCAAUGACACUUUGCUGAGUAUUUGUGAGGCGACGCUAUCCAACGGCAGGAUGCAAUCAGUGAGAUUCGCGAAAAUUUAAAGAUACUCAUCCAAUCUUAAAUUCUUAUUGUUAUUUUAAUACAAAUUUGAACAAAAACAACGAAAAAAAUAUGUACUAAAACAACGACAAGAAUUUAAGAUCGGAGGGAGUACAAAAAUAUCUUGAUUGUUGACUGAGAAAUAAACACUCUCAAGUCUCGAAUCGAAACACAUCUAUCCAUGUAGAUUGUGUUGUUAAUCGUAAGUUUAAAGAUCAACGAAGUCAUAGUGCUGGGACGACUCAAGUGCGGAAAAAUGACUCUGGGCAGGUUCCGCUUCGUGAUGGGGUGAAGCGCCCCGACUACGAUUUUUCAAGUAUCCAAUUUGAAUAUUUUGUAAAUAUGGAUGUCAAAGUUUGAAAAUUUGUCUCCAUUUAAAGAAACUAACGUCUUACAUUGAAACAAGAGUUUUCUAGCCAGGGACAAAUAUACAUCGUGCUUCUCGUCGUGAGCUUAAAAAUUGACAGAGUCACGAUGGUGGCAUGACCCGCAAAUCGCAAACAAGUCCGAGAAAAUAACAUCAGUAACAAGAAUAGUUGUCCGUGAGGAUGUCAAUGUUCAAGACUACUAUGACCAGGGCAACAGGAAUAUACGAACCAAUUCUCCCAGCAGAAAAUUUACCUACUUACCAACGCACAGUAUAACGCAACGAAGGAACAAUCUCCAUGACCAUGCAUGACUGAGCAAAUUCAUGUGUGCUAGCACCAUAAUUGUAACAGUAAUACAGCAAACUCUCAGGUAUUAGUCCACACGGAAUCACGAUGAAGCUGUUUAAAUAGCAACCAGAUGCAACAGAAGAGAAGAACCAUAGUUUCUUCCCCGGUUUAUUACAAGUUUCUAAAUGAUUCAGGAUGCCGAAAGCCAGCAGAAGACUUGUUAUUACAACAAACAGUUUUUUUUGUUUUCUGAAUGGAAACUGCAGCACAUUGUGCAAUUCACAAUUAGAUGGAGCGUCGCUUGUGGCGAAUUGCAGCGGCGACGAGAUCACUCAAUUUCUCUGGCCCGUUAUCUUUCGGGACAAUUUCCAGCAGUCGUUUGAGACGCUGCCGUGUUUCAGGUUCAUCCUGCGUUUUAACCAAGGAAAUGCAGUCAGUAUUUGGUUGGAUCCUUCGAUCUCGCGUGACACCUGCUUCAGUGCGCCAACAAUGAAUUUGUGACAACAGACAGCUUUGGGAAUAAGACUCACCUUGAGACAGUUAUCAAACGUCCGGUCCCUCAGCACGGGAGGAAUGAAACCAUGCAGCGUUCCACGGGCAUUGGCACUGGAGAGGGAAGAAAUAAAUAUUGGCUGACUUGCAAAGAGGUGUGAAAUGAUUUCAAAAUGUUGGGAAUGAUGGCACAAACCUAGGAAUCUCCGUCAGCCUGAGGUAACAACUGAUAAUGUGCUUCAGUAACUUCGUGGAAGGGCGGUCAGUCAGUGAUUCAACCAUGUUUGCUAAAGCCCAACCCAUGUCAAAGAAACGCUUAGGAGUCUCACAAAAAUAGUCCAGCCCAACAUCUUCGAGCAGAACCUUUUCAACAAUGAAAGUAGCCGCCUGCAUAUACAUUCACGUGAUCAGUGAAUCCGAGCAAUGGUCAUAAGAAUCACCAGAGCGAGGGGCAAUUUGUUAUGGGGUUUAUUUCUGGGACUUUGCUUCCACUUUUAACUCCACCUGCAAAGAGAGACUUAAGAUCCUGCUACUCAACUUUACGUUAAUUGAUGGGACCAAGUGGUACAAAACUACAAAUGCAUCUGCUACACAAAGUAGCAGCAUAACUCCGGGGAAGUCACAUGUGAAAUGUGCUUUGUGGAUCUACAUCAUGAUAUAACACGUGAACCUGUAAAUUUCUGUACAAAAAUGUGACCAACUGUGAGUUAAGUGAAUAAUAUUGCAGUUUGAAGUACCAGCAUAACUCUUUGUUGCCUCGGUUGAUUAUAGAUUUGUGGCUCUGUGCAUGUCGUUUGGAAGAUGUGGGCACGUCUGUGUUGCAAAAUCUUCAUCGUGUGGGUGCUUAGAAGACUGUGUUGAAUGGCAGAGUGACUCACUAAAUGUGACCUUUCGAAUCACACUUAUCGCGUCUUCUGCCAAUCAAUCGACAAAUACAUCAACAUUAAACACCCUCUGCUUGGCUGUUAUAUCUCUGGAACCUUAUGGACUAUGAUUCUGGACAAUCCUUGGUUUCGACAAGAAUCAACGGAAAAACUAAGGGGGAGAAGAAAUGAGCUUUGAUAGCCUAAUUAUUUGUCGCAUGGCACGUACAGAAGGAACGCAGGUUUAUAUGCGCCUAAGGCUCUAACUCUGAUUUUCUCUCCGGUUAUUGUAAGAUAUCAUAUUUUGGAGCACGGGCUCCAGCCCUAGGCCGUUUAUCUAGUCUUUUUAACUUUUCUUGUUGUUUUCUGAAAGAUCGCUUGGGGAAGGUCCCUGGAGCCUAACCCCUUUUACUCGUCUUUAUUUCUUAUGCAUUUGCAUGAAACUCUCCUGCAUAUAACUAAUCUGCCAUAUUGGGUGAGCGUAGUAUAAUACUAUAAUGUACUUAACAAAUAAACUUCUCAGAUAUCUGAGAUAUGUGCAACUGAUAAUAAGCAAAAAUCUCUAGGUGGCAAUAUCAAAGAUUAUCCCGAUUAAACAAGGUAUAAAGCAUGUCAAAAUCAGGACACAUGCAUAUUAGUAUAAAGCAUGUCAAGAUCAGGACUGACAGUCAAGUGAUGCAAGCUGAGAACACGAUUAUGUUCCAUGUAAACUUAUGGCUAAACAGACUAAAGAUUAAAGGUGGUUUACAUAUCACAGAUUUUGGCAUGAAACAGGUACUUGUUUCUUAUAUCUUUGGACUGAAACUUGAAUCUAUAAGUCAGGAUUUAAAUUUUGAAGCAAAAUCUGGAGAAAAACUAUGCAUAAAUACGUGUAAAUCAAUUAAGCCAUUUUAUGACUUUAAAUUACAUUUAGCUUAUUUUUCUAACUGGGCCAUGGGUAUCCCAUGGGACUGUGAACCUGGUGGGGGCAGGGAUGGGAGAGAAUUCUCCGCGUUAUUUUCCUAAUAAAUUAUAUGAUAUGGCUGAGCAUAAGCAGAAUAUGAUAAAAUUUUACAUUACAAUUAAGGUGGUUAGCUACAUACAGUUUUUGAAAGCUCGUCGCCUAUCUCCAUGAUAUUGAAGCACAAAGAAAUGACUCCUGAUCCCAGCAGAAAAUUGAUAACUUCGGCAUCCUUAUCCUGCAUGCACAUAUCAAAAUGAAAAGAGACAUUGCAGGAUUAGCAUUGACAAAAACAAACAGGGGCUUUAGUAUGUUAUGAUGCACUUAAACAAAGCGAAGGGCAAGACUGAGGAGCAAGUGCAACAAAAGAAGUUUAUUCUUUCAAUCAAGGCUUAAUUUCUUAGAUACAGCUGUAAAUUUUGGUUCGAGAUACAUCAACAGUUUCAUAUGGAUAGCAUAAAAUCUUGAAUCAUCAAGUUCAUAAUCAUCGGUAUUACUGGGUUAUCCAGAUUGUUUCCUUGAGUUAAGCUAAAAAAAAAGAUUGUUUCCUUGAGAAAGCACAAAAGCCUUGAUUAUCGUUACAUUAAUAUAUGAAUUGGUUGCAAGUCUAAGAGACAUUCCAAUGGAACACCCAUGCCAUGGUCCCACACAACGUUGCAGGCAUUGAAAGAGAAAAUCAGUAAACACCGACCCCAGCAGAUAGAUGGACAUGUUGGACAGGGACGGCACAACAGCUCGGACAUGUUGCUACCAGGUCAUCCAGUUAGUAAAAUCCAUUAUAUAAGGAUGCCAUGUAUCUCAUAAUUAAUCAUGCAAGAACAAGUAUCUACCAUCUAUUUGUUAUCUCAGCCCACCAUAUUCUCCCAUCCCAACCUAUGGCUAUCUCCCACCUCCAUAGACCCUAGUCUCCUUGUUAAACUCGUUUAAGCAGAAUAUGAUAAAAAGUUACAUUGCAAUUAAGGUUCAAAACAUUUGAAGCUAGGCUAAUUAUUCAUGUUACCAGCACUCGAGAACUAUAUCAUGUGGUGAAAACCUUGAUAUUUACCUAUGUUUGGAUCAGGUAAUUUGAAGGUAGACUAAGGGUUCACUAGACUCUGCUAAACACGUAGUAAAAAAUUAUCCAAGAAGUAGAAGAUAAUAAGUUGUGAAUGGGAUCAAUUUUCUCUAUCUAGCAUUCUAGUGUAAGGCAAUGUAAAGAAUGUAGACUUCCAGCCUUCCAGGUGAAUUACCUUAACAAGAGCACCAAUUACGGCCAAAGUGGCAAGCCGCAAGUACUCAAAAGGCUUGGACUUGUCGACGGUUUGCAGAAAUGGGUAUAAGUACUGCGGAAUACAAGCUGAAAACAACAAAAUAAAAGGAAAAGUAAAUCACUAAUACCAAGAAAUCCAAAAUCUAAGGUAUUAUAGAAGUUAAAAACAGACACUCUAAAUUUUUGUGUGAAAAAAGUCAGAUAUCAUAUACCAGCUAAUGUCUACCAGAAAAUGGUGAGACGAAAAUAUUUAGGGAAAAGGAAGAUAAUUGAUGAUGCAAUCUAACAGUGUAUUCAAUCUCUGACGAUAUGCAUAGUCAUGCUCAUUACCAUUUACAAACAGAGUCCUAGUCUCAGGGUGUGAUGCAACACACUGCAAUAAUAAUAAUAAAAGAGGUUAUGACAUAAAAUAUAAUAUGGGAAGUUAAAGUGAUAAUGAAGAAACAUAAAAAAAACUUCUACUUGCAGAGCAAUAUGCGACCAACAACCAAAUGUUUUUGCUAUCAUUUUCUGCCUAAAAGUUUACCUGAAAAAGUGUGAGUGCAUAGCAGACUCGAUUCGAUGCAGCCUGCAUUAAAUUUGGGGAUGAAAGAGCAGGGUAGAUUUCUACAAUCUCCUGUUUAAUUUUCCAAGAAGCCAAAAAUAUCGGUGAGAAAGAAAAGAUGUCAAAACUUAAAUAGAAGGUUUUUUAAAGAAAAUUUAAAUAGAAGGUAUGACACAGUUCCUUUGUUAUAUUGAGUAUUGACAAUAACUGUUAUGGUCACCAACUGCAUGCAAAUUGAGUACGACCAAGAACAACUGACCUCGAUAACAUACUGGACACAAAACACAAUUAAUGAAAUAGGCUCAAAACAUACCCGGAGCAGCUCGGAAAUUAUGCCUCUCGAGUGCCACAACAGCAGAGCCAGAUCCUCAACCGUCUCUGUCUUCUGAAGUUGCCAUAAACAACAUUAUACAUUAAAUUUUUCUCUUGAUGAUGUAGCGUGCCAAUGAGUGCAUAUACAACUUAUCAUGUUUUAGCUCAAAACCAUUCCUGAAUUAAUCAACCACAUAAGAACUGAAGAUAAAUCAGUUGGUAAAAGAUAAAAAAAAGCACAUCUCAUCAUCAAAGCAGCACCACUUGACAAGCGAAAUUUCAUUCAGUUUGGAAUGGAUUCCUAUCCCUGAAAAACUAUUUCAGUAUAACAGUAUGCAAUUUAGGCAUUGAACAUGCCUAUUAUAGUGCAUAAAUAAACAAAAAAUUAUUUGAUGAUGUAGCAAUGGAGACAUUUGUCAUAGAACUGAUUCAAUAAAAAUAGUCAUAGGAUGAGAACUUAAAAGUUUUGCACUUGCCAAAGUAUGGGAGAACAACUAUUAGAGACAACCAUCAAAUCUAUACUAAGCAAUUGAAGGUGUUCCAUAAAUAAUAUCUAGUUUGAGAACUUUGGUUUCGUGCAAUACACUAGCAAUUGGGGAUUUUUUUUGGUGUGCGUGUGGGGGUGGGGGGAGGGGGGGUACACGAAGAUUUAGGAAAGUUCAAUUUGUUCCUCGAGAGAUGCGCUAAUCAGAAAAAUGCAAGCACACAUGGAUCACCUUGGAGAGCUCAAGGAGGGCUUUCUCCCGUAGAUCUGAGUUGAAGAUAUUUCGCACCAACUGCCCCACAAUUGCCAUGGGUUCGUGCUUUGCCUCCUGCACCACCUUAGUACCACCUCUUCUCCCUCUCGCCGGAGAACGAGACAAAUGCAAAGACUUGGAGGAGGAGGAGGAGGAGGAGGAGAAGGUGGAGGGGGCCAUGUAGAGGGGGGAUGUAAUCUUUUCCAUUUAACGAAGGAAACUAAAAUACAAGGAUUUUCUUGUAUCAAGAUUAGUCACUCUUACCACUUCCUCUCUUGCUCUUAGAGGGGAUUUUAUACGUGAAAUAAUCCUGGUUUGCACCCACCGUGUGGGGGAAUGAUCUGUGGGCUACAACAAACUUUUCCGUUUUCUCACGAAAAAGUAUGUAAUCAGUUUUGGUAGCUUUUGCGUUGUUUAUUCGGUUUUGUCUUUAGCGUAACAAACAUAGAGUUCACGUCACGAAAUAAGUUUAGUAAUUUAGUCUGCAAUCGUCCACUUUAUGGAUUGUGUUUUCUGCAUUCUAUACCAUUUACAAUUACACUACUAUUUUAACUAUAGAUCUGUGAUGAGACUGCCACAUUUGCACAAAUAAUGUUGUGCAUAAUGGCUUGUCCAUGCUUUCACUUGUAGUUUUGAACAUUUUAAAUCUGUGGAUCUUUUUUCCUUCACUUGCUCAUGGAGAAUGCAAACUAUUACAAAUUUUGCUUCUUUAAACUUGCCAUGUUAAGUUGUAACUCUUCAACCUGGUCACUUCAUCCAUACCUGUCCACACCCAUAUCCGAUGUACAUCAUUUUAUAAUAAGAUCUAUUGUUGGGAUCUCCGCUCCAACACUUCCAUUCUUAUUCUUAAGCAUCGAUAGUAUAUGAUGCUUGCAUAACAUAUCCUAUUUAAUUGUGACAAAAUGAAACAGUGGUGGCAAUGAGGACAUUUAUUUAUUUUCCUAAGAACAGAUAAUCUAAAUCAAUGCAACCAUUUCAAAAUUUAUUUAUUUCCGGGAGGACUGUGAAGAUAAUACAAAUAAAGAUGCUUUUUUGUUAACAAAUAUUAUUUACAGCAGGGUCAUAUAAGUUCUCUUUAAUAUACAAAUAAAUCAUACAUGAUAAUAAAAAGAUAAAUUACAUAAAGAAACCAAUGCAUUUUCUGGUUAUUCAAUAAGCAUGUAUUCAUGUCUACUUUACGUAUUAUUCACCCAUGUUUCUGGUACUAGGUGCGUUUAUGUUGGACAAGAACAACUAUUCCUAAAUUCACUAUACUCGCAUAUUAUUCACUCAAAACGGUGUAUCACUAUAUCACGAUUUAUUUCAUGAGAUCUGUGGACAAAUUCAUCUAAACUAGGUAAAACAUAAUAAUCAACGAAGAUGUUACCAUAAUCAACUUAAAGCAGCUUAAGAGAGCCGAUUACUAUUGAAAUAAUACAUCAAGUUGAAUAAGAGAUGGUGUAAUAAUAGAUAGUUUAGGAGGAAAAAUUUGAAAUAAAAUACCUUAUGUAGCUCAGAAAGAGCAUUUCAAUUGAGCUCUGGAUCUAACAAAUCAUGAAGAAGAUGCUCCAAAGCAAUUCGCUCAUCAGAAGUAGCAACCUUGCUGCUCAACAUUGCAUUCAACAUAAGAGGGCAUAUAUAAUCAUAUGAGGCAUUCCCAUCAAAAAAAAAAAUCAUAUGAGGCACAGCACCAAGAGAAACGAUUUUGAAUGCUUAUACCAGAAUGAAAUGCAACAACUAUGGGAUUAAAAUAGCUACAGCAAGAUUUCCCGAGCACAAAGUAACGGAAACAAAUUUAUGUGCUUCUUCAUUGGUGUCAUAAGCAAGCAAUGACGCUAUCUAUUCAUCAUAAUCUUUCACCAAACAAAUGGUCAUCACGUUGUCAGUUUCUUCUUUGAUUUGUUGUAGUAAAGAAAAUGAGAAAUCUAAAAUCCCGCAAAAAGGCACUACAUAACUCUACCAUUGAUUGGCACAAUGGGCAGCAAAUAGUAUCAGGUUUACAUAUCGUUUGCAUGUUAUUCUUAUCUCAUCACGACACAGAUGUGGUCCAUUUAUUGUUUUCAUGUUUGUAGCACGGUUUAAUUGCUUUCUAGAGAAUAAUGUACCAUCCUAUAUGAUCAUGCAAGUUUCUUUUUUUUCGAGAAUAUCAUGCAAGUUUCUAGAAUCUUGGUAUAGCACCAUGUUAAAUUCCACUACACUUUCUCCUAAUUGAGGCCAGCAGGGGUGCAGCUGGGCCCCAGGCAACCAGGCCCAUGGCCCAUGGUGUAAGACUGCAUUCAGCCCACCUAUUCUUCUCGCAGCAGGCUCCUUUACCUCUUUAGGCACCCAGUUCAAACCCAGCCCAGCACAGUACUGAACAGGUUCAGAGUGGAGGAAGAACCAGAUCCAUAUGAUCGGAAAUUAGGAGUAACAAACGUAAAAACGUGAGAGUAUGCUCGGUCGUAAUUGUCUCGGGAGUUCGGGUUCUAGUGAUCUCGGGAAAAAAGAAAAUAACUGAAGAAACACAUGAGAAUUAUUUUAAAAACAAUACACAUUUUUGCAAUGUGGGCAAAAGAACAGUGAAUUUUGGGCAGUACAGUUUACUAUAUUAGCUCCUUGAUUUUAAAUCAAGCCACAGAUAUAAUAUCUUUCCUAGAAAUUUUGGAUUACUACAGUUCAUUCUCACAUAUGUAGGGUUUUUACUGAAUUCUUCUAAAACAUCAAAUACUAUUUUUAAUCAUUAUUUCAAAACAUACAAGGUCAUGGCGGUAGAAAGAGCGAAAGAUGGAGACACACGGUGCUUCUCGAGCUCGCCGCGACGCCUUCAUCAUCAUCUAUCGGCACUAAGUCAAGACACCAUAAGCUAUGAAAUUUAGCUAUAAUUUGUUAUGCCUAGACCAUGAGGUAUGUAGCUACGUGUGCUUAAUGUUUGGUCCAAGGGCUUGGUCGAAUCCUGGCUCGCCAAUUGAGGCCAGGGUGUGUUUUCAAAACAAAACAAAAAAAUCUCAAUUGCCUCAUAGAAUCCUUACUCGAGGGCUAAAGGCAAAUGCAAUACCCGGAACACAUCUGGGCUUCAGAAGGUAAAUUAACGACGAAACUAUGAGGGGGAAAAUGAGCCAAUCAAACAAAUCCCUAUCCAAUACCUGGAGCAAACUUGAUUGCUGUCGAGUCUGGAGCGUCCUCCCUGGAAACUUGCCAAGCUCAAUCAGCGAGUUCGACUCCUUCACCUACCCGCCCCUGAUUGAAUCGCUUGGCGGCGCCGCCGCGAGGCGGAGGUAGGAGGGCUCAUCAACUACCGGUUGUUCGUCUCGCGAGGCCAGCCACCGGGAUGGGAUGCGGACUCCCCGCGAGGCGCCGCACCGCCGCCAUUCGCCUUCCGGUUCGAUGCAUCAAAGGGGAAAAGCGCUUCGUCUUUCUUUUUUGCUUUCUUGAUUUUGAAACUGGAAAAGCGCUUAGUCUUCCUGAUGCGCUUUGUGGAAAGCAACUACGCUUCGAGAGGUCGAAAGCGUAAAGUUGGGCAGUGAAAGCGGAAUCUCGUGGCCCGCUUUCCCAUUUUGUUAUUCUUUUCUGCGAAUCACUUGCACAUCGUCUCAAAUAAUACAGCCAAUCGUAUGUAAACAUGAAAAAAAAACAAGCAAAUAGUUGACCCCUUCCAGCAAGUAAUCCUGGAAGGUUUGCACAUUCAGUCACCCCUCAAGAAAUCUGUGUGCAAAACGAUAACAAUAGCUUCUUUACUGCAAACAAGUAAUCCUCGAUCAGUUUCCACAAUCAGUCACCCCCGGCCUCCAGAAAGCUUUCAGCAUCUACAGCUUACAACUCUUUAACAGAAGAAACAAAAGGAAUGGUUCAAAAGAAACAACCCACAAGUUCAGUGGCAACCAGAUUCCGAGAAUCACUUCUCAUGUACUACUCUCUUUUAAGGUGUUUCAGGAGUAUACAGAUCAGAUGGAACUGUGAUUCUGUUACUGUUUUAGAUUGGGAAAUAUCCACGCAACGUUGAGGUGCCGAACAAUAUGACAUGCCUGGAAAAAUGCUAACCAAUACAUUGUCGCGGCAUUGUCAUGUGAUCAGAUACCUGAUCCAGCUCACAAGCUAACCCAUUGUAGGAUUUUCAUAAAAUGCGAUUGCUGGCUAGUAGCCACCCUAAGGACUAAAGGACUUCUGUAAAACAAACCUCAGGGAGCCGGAGCCAGCAGUCUCUGAGUCUAUCUUGCCUCCUCCAACGGUCCAACCCCAGGCACCAUCUUGGUGCUUAGCUCUCCCACUAAGCACCAAGUGAGGUUGAAGGCCAAGAGUAUAUCCUGAGCUCCAACGGUCGGUCGGUCACACGGAAAGAGGCUUGCUAGGGCUUUGAUCUUCAUAAGCCAAAGAAAGAGACCAAACUAGUGUGGCAAUUUGGAGAACAGAGAAGCACAGGCCGGCGAUUCUGCUGUGUUGCAUGCUGCCACAGUGUCUACUUCAAUUGAAAGAAUCGUCUAGCCACCUUGCAAUGUGUGUUCCUCUUUCUCUCAAGUAGCCGCAGCUAUUUUAUUGAUCUCACCACACAGAUGUGCUACAACUAUUUUAUUAUCUCACAGCAAAACAAUGUAUCGCAGACUGAGCUUGAAAAUCGACAAGGUCACCACAAUCGGACAACAAUAUAAUCACAGAUAAGUGUAAGACAAUGGCAUCAGGGCAAUAGGCUCCAACUCUCCAACAAGAAACUCUACCUACUGUCCAAUGCAAGGUGCUUAAGGUAGUGCUACAAAAUUAAACCGGUUUAUUCUCAAGGACCAGUCCUUAUUUCUAUACUAGAGGUGCCUAAUUAAGCACCAGACAAAAGCCGGUUUAUUUUGUGCAAGCACCUCUCUAAACACCUUGCAUUGAACAUGCCCUUACAAACGCAAGUUGUAACCCGAAAACAAAGAAAUCUCCAUAAGAGGCAAUUUAUUAUGUCCAACCAAAAUUUUAAACAGUAACAUAGCAAACUCUCCGUUAUCGGUCCACCCGGAAUUACAAUGAAGCUGUUCUACUGUUGUUAUCUUCUGGGACAAUAGCCAACAGUUGUUUGAGACACUGCUGUUUGCAGGGUCAUCCUGUGUUUUAAGCAAGGAAAUACAGUCAGUAUUUGGUUGGAUCCUUCGAUCUAGUCUACUUCAGUGGACAGGCAAUGAUAGUGCGAUAACAGACAGCUUGGAAGAAAGACCCACCUUGAGUCAGCUAUCGGAUGUCCCAUUUCUAAGCACACUACGAAGGAAAAAUUUCAGCCCUGCACAGGCCCUGCAUUGGAGGGGGCAAAGAAACAAAAAUCAGCGACUUGACAAGAAGUACACGUGUUAAGGGCCUGUUAGGCAUCCCUCUACUCCAUUAAAUCUGUCAACUCCGCUCCCAAACCUCAAUUCCACGCUCCUUGGUCCAAAUCUGGAUUUUUCCAAUCCUGUUUGGGACAGCGCUCCACUCCGCCCGAAUAUUCCUCAGCAGACAACCACGAAGAACUUCACCAUGGCUACCAUGGCUGCUGCCCAUCUCCCCGCCACUCCCGCGCUGUUCCCUCCCUGCACGAGUUUUGCACUUCUUCAACCCCACCUCGCCGUUCCACGCGGGUUGCAUGGCCGAUAGGUCGCGGACGGCACGAGGAGGACUGCUGAGCCGUCGCCGGAGCGGCAGCUGCCUUGAGCGCCUUGUCCCGAGCCGCUUGUUCUGCUUGACGAGGCGGCGGCAGGAGAUUCCAGGGGGUGAGGAGCUCGGCGGCGGGAUUUGCUGGAGGGGGAAGCGCGGCGGCGGCGGCGAGAGCUCCUGAGGAGGGAGAAGAGCGGAGGAGACGAGCUGAUGGGAGAGAAAUAGAACGAGAUAACAAUUCGGGAAAGGUCGAGGGCAUCGAACAGGUAAGUUCGGGGCUGGCGUUGGCAACAUUUUUGUAAGUUUGCCGAACUCUCCGAUUUGCGGGGUGCUCCACUCCGCGAUUUUUGAUCCACGGAGUUAAACCGUUCGGCCUAGCUCUGCCAAAUCCGCACGGGGAGCCGGGAGUCGGAGGAUUUCCGAACAGCUUCUAAAUAUUCGCAAUACCGGGAAUGAGAGCACAAGCCUAAGAUAAUCUGUCAUCCUAAGUUAACAAUAAAGUGCUUCAGUAACCUCAUGGAAGGUUGACUAGUCAGUGAAAUAACCAUGUGUGCUAAAGCAGAAUGCAUCUGAAAAAAAACACUCAGGAUUCAGGAGUGGCAUAAACGUAGUACAUAUAAAUAAAACUGAACAAAUUUGUCACAGAAUUAACACUGAACAAAUUUGUCAUGGAACUGGUUCAAUAAAAAAUAGUCAAACCACAACAGCUUCGAAGUUAUGCACUUGCCGAAGUUUGGGAGAACAACUAUCAAGCACAAGAACCAAAUUUACAACAAGCAAAUGUUCCAUAAGUAAAAACAUCUAGUCUGAGAGCUCUGCUUGCCUCGACGGUGAUGUCUUGAUCAGGAUAUAGUAUAGAAGGCGAUGUCCUGAUCAGGAUAUAGUAUAGAAUGCGAUGACUUGAUCAGGAUAUAGUGUAUAGGGCUAGGAAUUGGGCAUGAUGAGGAAGGGAGAAAUAUUACAUAUUCAUGGUCCUAAUUCACACAAAGUUUCAGCAUAAGUAAUAAAGUCUGCAACAAAAUUCCUUUACCGCAAAAAAAAAAUCCUGCCAAACUAAUAGUGUCAUUAGUUGGAAAAAAAUAGUUACAUCUCAUAAUAACUGCGAUGCAAAGAUCCCAGUUCACUCGUAAGACUUGCAAUGAGAUCAACACCUAAAGACUUCUCAUCAACCUUUCUACUUAGAAUCACAUAAUGUAACAGAGCAAACUACCUUCUAACUUUGCACGGAAUUGUCCACUUCCUCGGACUAGCAUGCUUAAGCCUCUCGUGGAACCCCUUCAUCUAAUAAUCCUAACUAAGAAAUGCCACCAUUUCAAUCCCAUAAAUAUAAUCCCGUUUCCACCUGGAAACCACAAGCAAAAAACAAAUGACAACAUUUGUUUGAUUCAAAAUGUAUCAGCCACCAACGCAUAUACUCCGCAAUUCACCUCAACAACACCAAACUAGAUCAAAUCACUCCCCCAAUGCACCAAUAUGUACAUUUGAACUCAACCAAAACAGAAUAUUUAAACCCUUAAUUCUCAUUGUUUCCAUGUGGACCAACAACACUAAAUUAAACAUUAAAAGAAUAUCACGACUAACCACAAGAGUAAGAUAAAAAUAGACACGAGUUAAACAAGUACACUCUUUACAGUCUAAUCAUCAAUUGCAGAGCAAUGUUGUUCAAUUGCCAACAGUUUGUGCGAACAGUUCCACCCAAUCGCUAAAACUGACACACCAAACCACACAAAACCAUAUUGCAUCAAUGAAAGCUCAAUUUUUACCACUAUCCAGACCAAAAUUCACAACAAGAAUCUUCACUUCAGAUUUUGGAACACCAAAUCUUUCCUCAAGAGGGUGCGCUGAGAAGAGGAUGCAGAUGCACAUGCAAGACCUUGUAGAGCUGGAGGGCUUUCUCGAAUAGAUUAAGGCUGCGGAGAUUGUGCACCAAGUGACCCAAUAAUGCAAUAUGUUCGUCCUCUGCUGCCAUCACCACCUCAAUGCUACCUCUUCUCCCUCGCACCAGAGGAGAUGAAGGCAAGGACUUGGAGCAGGAGAGGUCAUGUAGAGGGAAAAUGGAUUCGCUUCCAAUUCACAAAGGGAAUAAAAAUUGCAGGGCUUCCAUGCAUCUUGAUGUUAGCCCUAGGUUCUAUUUAAACACUCUCACCUUUAUCUCUCCCUCAUAGAGGGGAUUUUUUUUCCUUCAUGCUUUCAGAUUUGUUUACUGCUUAUAUAUUAGAGUAAUCCUAUUUGACACCAUCCAUGUGGAGGCAUGCCUAUGGGCUAAGCAAAAAACGAAUGGCCUCCAAGUUUCAUUACUAGAGGAGUUUAGUGCAUACGGGUCUGACGCGUGUUGUGAUUGUACUUGGCCUACUCAUAUACGCAAUUCUGUCUAUCAAUGCACCGACAUGAAACCAUUGGUAAUUGGGGAUUUUUUUUUGGGGGGGGGGGGGGGGUUUGACACCAUCCAUGUGGAGGCAUGCCUAUGGGCUAAGCAAAAAACGAAUGGCCUCCAAGUUUCAUUACUAGAGGAGUUUAGUGCAUACGGGUCUGACGCGUGUUGUGAUUGUACUUGGCCUACUCAUAUACGCAAUUCUGUCUAUCAAUGCACCGACAUGAAACCAUUGGUAAUUGGGGAUUUUUUUGGGGGGGGGGCAGUAUACACGAAGAUUUAGGAAAUCCAAUUCUUUCCUCAAGAGAUACGCUAAUCAAAAGAGGGCAAGGACGCACAUCGAGCACCUUAGAGAGCUCAAUAAGUGCUCUCUCCCAUAGAUCAAAGUUGUGGAGUUUGAGCACCAAUUGAGCCAUCAGUGCCAUAUGUUCAGCCUUUGCCUCCUGCACCACCUUGGUUCCAUCUCUUCUUCCUCCCGCCAAUAAGGAGAUGAAGGCAACGUCAUAGAGGAGGAACAGGGCAUGUAGAGGGAAGAUGGAUUUUUUUUCCAUUUCACAAAGGAAAUUAAAAUACUAGGGUUCUUAAUAUCAACAUGUUAGCCUUACCUUCUAUUUAAGCACUUUUCCACCACCUUUCUCUCUUGCUCAUAGAGAGGAUUUUCUUUUUCUUUGAUUUUGUUUUCUCUUAUAUACGUGAAGUAAUCCUGCUUGACCAACCGUUUGUGGGAACAAUAUGUGGGCUAAAGCAAGACUUGUGCAUUUUCUUACGAAAAAGUAGGUAUUGUGUUACCUUCUAGAAUUAUUUGUGUGCCCCCUUUUGUUGUUUAUUCAGUUUUGUCUUUAGCAUAACAAACAUGCAACUUAUGUCACGAAAUAAGUUUGACUUUUGUUAUCAUUUAGUCCGUAAUUGUCCACUUCAAGAAAUUAUGUGUACUGCAAUGUUGUAUACCAUUUAUAACUAUCCUGUUAUUUUUAGUUGUUUGGUAACUAUGGAACAGCCAGUGGUUGAUGAGUGAUUCAAUCACAAGCGGGCAGGGGGAGGAGGUCGCUCCCUGACAUAAAUCUAUAGUUACCAAACAACUAAAAAUACUAGUGUAAUUGUAGAUGGUAUACAACGUUUGCAGUCAAUAUAAUUUCUGAAACUUGAAACUUGCAAACAAAAUCACAACAAGACAAACCUUUUUCGUGACAUAAACUCCAUGUUUGUUAUGCUAAAGACAAAACUGGAUAAACAACAAAAUAAGGAGCACACAAAUAAUUGUAGAAGCUAACACAAGCAAUCACAUAUUUUUUUCCUAAGAAAACACAAAAGCCUUGCUUUAGCCCGCAGAUCGUUCCCACACAUGGUUGGUCAAGAAGGAUUAUUUCAUGUAUACAAGAGAAAGAAAACUCAACAGGAAAAAAUCCCCUCUAUGAGCAUAGAGAAAGGGGAAAAGUGCUUAAAUAGAAGCUGGGGUAACACUAACAUCUUGAUAGAAGAACCCUAGUACUUUAAUUUCCUUUGUGAAAUAGAAAAGAAUCCAUCUUCCCUCUACAUGGCCCCCCUCUUCCUCUAAGUCCUUGCCUUCAUCUCCUUCUCUGGUAGGAGGGAGGACAGAGGGCACCGAGGUGGCGCAAGCGACAAAGGAAGAACAGAUGGCAUUGGUGGGUCAGUUGGUGUUUAAUCUCGGCAGCUCUGGUCUAGAGGAGAAAGCCCUCCUUGAACUCUCUAAGCUGUUCCAUAUGCGUCCUUGCCCUCUUCAGAUUAGCACAUCUCUUGAGGAAAGAAAUGGAUUUUCUAAAUAUCAGGUGAAGUUUCUUGUUGUCAAUUUUGGUAUGUAGCGUGGUAAAAACUGUGCAUGCAGUGAUGUCAUCUAGCUUCGUGGGCUUGGGUGUGUCUAUUUUAAUGAUUGGGUGGAAGAGUUGACACAAACUGAUGUCAAUUCAACAAUAUUACUCUACAAUUAAUACUUAGUGUGUAUGUAUUGUUCCCGUGCCUGUUUUUAUUGUAGGGUUUUGUAGCUAGAUUGCAUGAUAUUGUUUUAACGUUUAAUUUAGUAAGGUUGGUCCAAAUGACAAUAAUGAGAAUUGAAAUCUUAAGUAUUCUAUUUAAGUUAUAGUUUAUAGCUGUAGUACAGAUGUACCUGUCGUGCAUUGGAGAUAUCCAUUCAUGCAAAUCUUUCAGUGGAUAAAUGUUCAUUCUGUUGUCGGUUUCUUCUUUAAUGAGUUGUCCAUACAUUACUUUUGUUAUAAAGGAAAUGACGGAAGCCUAUAUCCAACAGAAGGGUAAUCCUUAACUCCAUGCCACUGAUUGCCACAUUCGAAGUGAGAGAGAGGAUAGGUACCAGGUUCACAUGUCUUUCGGAUCAACUUCUGACCGAGCUCCACUGAACUAUGUCGAAGGCCAACAUUAUUUACUGCGACAGCGCGUCUGUUGUCUACCUCGUCGCCAACCUCGUUCAUCAUCGCCACGCCAAACAUGCCGAGCUCAACAUUCACUUCAUUCGCGACAAGGCUGCUCUUGGUCAAGUUUGCGUUCUUCUUGUUUCGACAACUGAGCAUUUUGCUGAUGUGAUGACCAAGGGGCUCCCGACAAUGCCAAUUCAAGAGUUCUGUUCCGGUCUCUGCGUCGGUGACGCUGAGACUGCGAGAGUGUGUUGGCAAACCUGGGUUUGCUCCUGACGUGCAUGCAUGGUCCACGAGUCGUCUACUAUUGCCUCGGUCCACGAUCGUCCAUGCACGUCCUGCUGUUAGCGUCCACGUCCAAGCUCCAUGAGUUUUGUUCACCUUUAGUAGGUGCACGCUUGGACUACGGUUGUACAUGCAAUCAUGCACCAUAUGUGGUAUUUAUACCACCUGAGAUGAUAAUACAAAUUGGGAGGCAGUCUUUCCUCCCAAUUUGUUAGUUUUGUUGAGAUGGCUUUAGGUCUUUCUUCUCUUAGAAAGCAACGAUUGUCACAAAGGAUUAAGAAAAACAGCUAGCUUUCCUCUUCUUCUUUUUCCAAAGAUGAUGAGCUAGCUUUCCUCUCGAUUUGCGACGUGUAGGGGAGGCCAUAUAUGAACAUGAUCCAGAAAUCUCUCAUGCACCCCUUCAGGAAUUAAAAAAGGCGUUUAAUUUGUUCUGCAGCCUACAUACUAUAUCGAACCAUCGUCUCUUUUUCUUGCUGCAGUUAAUAAUACAAUACGACUCGAACAACAGUACUCCACACCAUGCCAGUGGUUUGUAUUGAACACAUUACAGAAAUAAAGCAGUCCUUUUGCUUGUUUGGAAAAGGCUUCUCCUGCAUACUCCAGAAUCCAGAUAACACUAAUUCAGGGGUAGUCCCACCGUCACAUAAUCGUACUGAAAUCAUAUACUAAUCCAUCUAUAGUAGCCUCACAUAGGAGUCGUACUAAUAUCACCGUUCAAUGUUACCUUGUCGAUCAUGAUCGUGCUCCUGUCUAGAGCAAGUUUAAUUGUGUUCCCUAGAACGUCAUAGCGAUACCAACCUGCCUGAUUAUGCAAUUUUCUAGAUCCCGGGUAUGUUGGAUUAAACUCUGCACACGCUCUACCUCUGUUAGCUUUGCACUGUAGUUAUUCUUCAGUUAACCGUAGCAGUUCUUGCUGUUUUCUUCAGUUAGCUGUUAGCAGGAAAUAAGGGCCUGUCAGUGAGCCUGUUCACGAUAUGGUCGUAGUUGUUUUUCUUUUGAUUAUUAGCUAGGUAGUUAGGCCGCACUAACCGCACCAUGGGAUGGCAUGGAGCAUGCGAGUAUUGCGGCAGUAGAGAUCACGCAUGACUUGGGCGUCGUGGGAUGGCACGACCUGUUAGCUCAGUCAGCGAUCUGAUCAGUUUGUUAGCUAUUUUGGUGGAUCGUUGGAGACCACAUAAAUAAGGGUGAAUCAGAAACAGAAAAGCUGCAGUUACAGCACGCAGCGCAAAAAAUACCUCUUGUGUUCAUCGUGUCCAAGUGAGCUGAGAGAGUGCGUGUUUGGCAACGUCAAUUGGUAUCAGAGCCUUGUUGCUUUGGUGACCAUGGUCGGAACACCACCAGCAAAGGUUGGAGGCGCCGCGGCGGCGGCGAAAGCGGCGGGCCGCACAUCGGACAGGUCAGUGACCCCGGUGGGCGGACGCGCGCAAAGUCGUGGCAGAAGCCGAAGCAGGCGUGGUGGCGGGGAGAUCGUGGUCCGGGAGAUCGUGCGCGAGGGCGGCGGCGGCGGCAGCGUCACCUUCCCCACCCUCACCAAGACGAAUUACCAGGAGUGGGCGAUCCUGAUGCGGAUCGCGCUCCAGGGCGCCGGCCUUUGGGAGGCCGUGGACACCGGCGACGCCAUGGAGCGGCAGGAGCGCCAGGCGCUCGGCGCGAUCCUCAGGUCCGUCCCGCCGGAGAUGGUUCCAGCACUCGCGGCCAAGGACGAGGCCAAGGCGGCCUGGGACAUGCUGAAGACGAUGCGCGUUGGUGACAAUCGCGUUCGCGAGGCUCGCCGCCAGAGGCUCUGCAAGGAGUUCGAGGCCAUGGCAUUCAAGUCCGGGGAAUCCGUCGAGGACUUCUCGAUGCGGAUGUCCGGCCUCGUCAGCGAGUUGCAGUCGCUCGGCGACAACACCACCGAGCUCGACGCCAUCUACAAGACUCUCCGCGUCGUGCCGACGCGGUACACGCAGAUGGCGUGCUCCAUCGAGACGCUGCUCGACCUCAGCACACUCACCAUCGAGGAGCUGAGCGGUCGCCUGGCCGCGUCAGAGGGGCGUGGCGCGCCGGAGCCAGAGGCCGGUGGCCGUCUGCUGCUCACGGAAGAGGAGUGGGCUGCAAGGCAGAAGCAGCGCGCCGGGGAGUCGAGCGGCAAGCAGGCCGCUGCGCCCAAGCCGCCGGCCGGUUUCAAGGGAGGAAAAGGCGCCACCGAGCGCCGCAAGGGCAACUGCCGGUACUGCGGCAAGGCCGGCCACUGGGCGAAAGAGUGCCGGAAAAGGCAGCGCGAUGAAGAGCGCGGCAACGUGCAAGCCAACCUUGCCCAAGCUCAAGAGGAAGAAGCACCUGCCAUGAUGAUGGUCAUCGUCACUGAAUCAACGGCGUCGCAGAUCGUGGCAUCGCAGACAGUGUUCCUCAAUGAGGAGAGGGUGUUCCCUGUGCCCUCACCAGAUGGACUGUGGUACUUUGACACUGGUGCAAGUAGCCACAUGACAGGGGAGAAGCAUGUCUUUGCAACCUUGGAUGAAACCGUGCGUGGCUCGGUGAAAUUUGGCGAUGGUUCCCUGGUCAGUAUCUGCGGAAAGGGAUCUGUUCUGUUUAGAGGGCAGUCAGGUGAUCAGCGCGUCCUCGCAGGCGUGUACUACAUCCCGAGCCUCCGGAGCAACAUAAUCUCCGUUGGCCAGCUGGACGAGGGAGGGUACAAGAUCGGCAUAGCAGAUGGCAUGAUGACGAUCCGUGAUCCCGUGCACAGCCUGCUCGCGCGCGUCAAGCGCACCGGCAAUAGACUCUACACUGGCAUCCUGUCACACGACACGCCAGUGUGCCUGAUGAGCAAGACCGACGACGCUGCCUGGAGAUGGCAUGCUCGUUUUGGGCAUCUGCACUUCCGUGCUCUCCACACUCUGUCUAGGCGAGACAUGGUGCGUGGCCUACCCAAGAUUCGUCGUGUUGAAGAGUACUGUGAUGGAUGUGCUUUGGGGAAACAACACCGCACGCCUUUCCCAAGCGCAUCAUCGUUCAGAGCACAGCAGAGCCUCGAGCUGGUCCACACUGAUCUUUGUGGCCUAAUCUCUCCGACGACGCCAGGAGGAAACAACUAUUUCUUGCUUGUCGUGGACGACUUCAGUCGUUACAUGUGGAUCGAGAUCAUCAAGGUGAAGAGUGAUGCAUACUACUUCUUCAACAAAAUCAGAGUCGCUGCAGAGGCGAUGGGCAACUGCAGGCUCCGGGCUUUCCGCUCCGAUCGCGGAGGAGAGUUCAAUUCAGGCGAGUGGCGCGAGCUCUGCGACACCAACGGCAUCCAGCACUACACGACGGCGCCAUAUUCCCCACAGCAGAAUGGGGUCGUCGAGAGACGAAACCAAACUGUCGUGGAGAUGGCUCGUUGUCUGCUCAAGAGCAUGAAGAUGCCGUCUCGUUUCUGGGGAGAGGCUGUCAGAACCACAGUCUACAUACUGAACCGUGCUCCUACUCGUGCACUCGAUGGCAUCACUCCGUAUGAGCUCUGGCAUGGCCAGAAACCGAACGUCCAGCACAUGCGUGUGUUCGGUUGUGUUGCUCACGUCAAGAGGGUUGGCCCUGGCAUCAACAAGCUUGCAGACCGCUCCACCAUGUGUGUGUUCAUUGGCUACGAAGCUGGCUCAAAGUGCUAUCGAGUCUAUGACCCAGCAACAGGCAAGCUGCAGGUGUCGCGCGAUGUUGUGUUUGAGGAAAGCAGAGCAUGGAACUGGGCAGAGGAGCAAGUGCAAGCGUCAGGCAACACAUCCUUCUCAAUGACGUAUGUCGAGGAGUCGGGCACCAUGCAGAUCGACACUGGCGUAGAGACACUAGCUGGGCAAGCUUCAAGUUCUUCUACUGGUGGCAGUUCCUCGAGGUCUGUCACGCCAGCGCCAGCGCCACUCACGCCCACCGGCACCGCUUCAACGCCGCUCACGCCAGCGGACAGACUGGCAUUCGUUGGGCAACGCCACUCACGCACGACGACGGCCGCGACACGGACACCGGGCCGAUUCGCUAUCGGCGCCUGUCCUGCGUCCUCGAUGCCACGGAGGAUGAAGCCAUCAGGGAGCUGGGCGAGCAGUGCAUGCUCGCUGCCGAAGAGCCUCAAAACAUCAACGAGGCAAUCGCAGAUGAAGCGUGGCGAGCUGCCAUGGACGAAGAAAUGGCAUCAAUCACUGAAAACAAAACCUGGGAGUUGUCUGCACUCCCUCGAGGCCACAAAGCGAUUGGCCUCAAGUGGGUUUUCAAAGUAAAGCGCGACGCCGCCGGCAACCUCGUCAAGUACAAGGCUCGCCUCGUCGCGAAAGGCUACGCCCAGCGCCAGGGGGUGGACUUCGAGGAGAUUUUUGCUCCGGUGGCCAGAAUGGAGACGGUGCGUGUCCUUCUCGCGCUGGCGGCACACUCUGGCUGGGAAGUACACCAUAUGGACGUAAAAUCUGCAUUCUUGAACGGUGUACUCAGCGAGGAGGUCUACGUGUGCCAGCCACCGGGAUACGUCGUCGCCGGCAAGGAAACUGCAGAAAGCUCUAUAUGGACUCCAUCAGGCACCUCGGGCAUGGUAUGAAAAACUUGAUGUUUCACUUGUUUCACUUGGAUUCAUCCGCAGUCCAGUAGAGCAUGCUGUGUACAAGAGGGGUGACAGCAAUUCAUACUUGCUGGUGGGAGUCUAUGUUGACGAUUUGAUCAUCACCGGCACUGAUGUACAGUUCAUCUCUGAAUUUAAACAUCAGAUGCAGCAACUCUUCAAAAUGAGUGAUCUGGGCCAUCUCAGCUACUACUUGGGGAUUGAGGUCACCCAAUCUGAUGGUCAGAUCACGCUGUGCCAGAGGAGAUAUGCUGAGAAGAUACUGGAGACUGCUGGCAUGAGCAACUGCAACAGCUGCCGCGUCCCAAUGGAGUGUCGUCUGAAGGUGAAGAAACAUGAUGACACAGGAGAGGCUGAUAAAACCCUCUACAGAAGUGUGAUUGGCAGCCUCAGGUACCUGGUAAACACACGGCCAGACCUUGCUCUUGCCGUAGGUGUUGCCAGCAGGUUUAUGGAAAAUCCCACUCAAAUUCAUUGGGGUUUGAUCAAGCAAAUUUUGAGGUAUGUACAAGGAACAUUGUCCUUCGGUUGCAGCUUCAGAAAAGGGGAAGGGGAUCCUGUACUUGUUGGAUACAGUGACAGCGAUCUAGCAGGUGAUCCAGAUGAUCGCAAGAGCACCUCUGGAGUCACCUUCUUUCUUGGCCACAACAUUGUUUCCUGGAGUUCACAGAAACAGAAAACUGUGGCCUUGUCCUCGUGUGAAGCAGAGUACAUUGCCGCUGCUGCAGGGGCGUGUCAGGGUGUGUGGCUCAGUCGCCUUCUUGGUGACCUGACCGGGCGAGCUCCUACAAAGUUCAGGCUUCUAGUGGACAACAAGUCAGCGAUCGCUCUGUGCAAGAAUCCAGUAUUUCAUGAUCGCCGUAAGCACAUUGACAUGAAGUUUCACUUCACCAGAACCUGCAUCGAGAGAGGUCAAGUGGAUGUGGAUCAUGUGCGCACGGAGGAGCAGCUGGCAGACAUUCUCACGAAGGCGCUUGGCUUCGUCAGGUUUAUCGAACUGCGUCGCUUGCUGGGUGUCGUCGAGGUGCAAGUUUAAGGGGGUGAAGUGUUGGAUUAAACUCUGCACACGCUCUACCUCUGUUAGCUUUGCACUGUAGUUAUUCUUCAGUUAACUGUAGCAGUUCUUGCUGUUUUCUUCAGUUAGCUGUUAGCAGGAAAUAAGGGGCUGUCAGUGAGCCUGUUCACGAUAUGGUCGUAGUUGUUUUUCUUCUGAUUAUUAGCUAGGUAGUUAGGCCGCACUAACCGCACCAUGGGAUGGCAUGGAGCAUGCGAGUAUUGCGGCAGUAGAGAUCACGCAUGACUUGGGCGUCGUGGGAUGGCACGACCUGUUAGCUCAGUCAGCGAUCUGAUCAGUUUGUUAGCUAUUUUGAUGGAUCGUUGGAGACCACAUAAAUAAGGGUGAAUCAGAAACAGAAAAGCUGCAGUUACAGCACGCAGCGCAAAAAAUACCUCUUGUGUUCAUCGUGUCCAAGUGAGCUGAGAGAGAACGAGUGCGUGUUUGGCAACGUCAGGGUAUACCGUGACACUAAAUCACACUUCGCGCCCAAUUGAGGCCAGGGAGGCAGGGAGUGUUGCUGAAAACAUGUCAAUUGCUCCCAAAUGUUUCUACACAUCUCAGCCCAUGAAGAUAAAUUGACGAAAAUAUGAGGAUAAACUGAGGCAAUCAGAUCUUGAUACCUGCAGCAAACUUGCCUGAUCUGGAUCCUCCAUGGAAACCUCGGUCGCUCUGGAGAGAAGGCCGGGGCAUCAGGAAGCUAGAUGCGAUGCGAUGCGUCGCGUCUCCUGAUCCCCUCCAUGCCCGCUACCUUCCACAGCAUAGCUUCUCCCCAUCCCCCGAUCUCGCUCGGCGCCGCCGCGGCUGGCGGAGGGAAGGCUCGUCAGCCCACCGGUUGUUUGGCUCGCCGCUGCCGUAAGAUGCCCCUGCUCGAGGCGCCGCCACUCUCUCAAGGGAAAAGGAGCUCGCUUGUUUUGCUGUUGGAGAGUGAAAAAAAAGAAGACCCU
rnacentral:lncRNA from 1 species